GAGAUAACAAAGUUUUGAUGUUGUCAUAAUGAGUGACGAGAAAUUGCUAGCUAGAGAGUAGUUUGAAAGAAUAUAUCUAGUACUAAAUGACGGUGAUUGAUCGAGAGAUAAUCGUGAUAAGUUAAAGUAUUCACAACAUGAAUCGAUCAACAUAACUAAAUUAAACAUAAUUGUCAGGAUACUCCUCCUAUUGUCCUAUAUUAUGUGAAACUGUUACCGUUUAGGAAAUUAAUAAUUUUUUCUUCAUAGUUUCAUUUAUGAUCUGAGCAAUACAAAUACAAAGUUACAAACGCGAAUUCAUUUAAGAAAACCCACUCUAAAAUACAUGAAUAAAAAUAAGACUCUUAACAAUUGAGUUUCCCCUAUUUUAAACUCUCAUUUACGAAUGACAAUAAUCGAUGUAUUUCUAUUUUUACAACUUUUUUGUAAGACUAUUUUUUUCACUCGGCUAAAUUAGUUUUUAGGUCUCUAUUAAGGUUACAGAAUGAAUUUUGAGACCUCCUUUCCACUUUUUAUUCCAAACUUCAUACAAUCCAAAAUAAAUCUUAUCAGUAUUGUUCCCUUUUCCUUUUGUUAUCGUAAUAGUUUUUGAUAUCAUCUUUUUGCCAUUAGUCUCAGUAGUCAAAUUGAUCUUUCUCCAUUGAGUAUUAUCUCCCCAUUUAGCCAUAAGAUAAAGUGGCGAAUCGCUCCAACCGAACGCAUCAGUCAUCAAUGACAUUGUAAAUCCAAUGUUGUAUGAUGUUUUCUUCGUUAUAUUAAUAUUAUCGAUGCAACCAGUUACCUCCAACCAAUUUACUUGCAUAAGUUCUGCAUCAUCCUUUCUGUAAUUCAAAUAUAUUUAAUAAAAACGUCAGCAUGCUAAAAACAACAAGAGAUUUAUGUAGUCCUAUAUUGUCUUCAUUAUGCAAAAUGUAGUCCUUUUAGAAAAUUUUAUGUUGAUAAAAAUAAAAUUAAAAAAAUAGUAUUCUUACUCGUUUUUGGGUAGCUUCCAAUAACGCUUAUCAUUUCCCCAAACAAUAUUAAGAGAUUUUGGAUAAAUUAUAUAACCCUGCAAGCAACAAAAAUAACACUAUUAAAUAAAUAACAUAACAUAACAUAAACUCGAUGGAUCGAUGGAUUAAGCAUAAGUAAUAAGAGAAACAAGAAUUGCAAUAUAGGAAGAAACUAAUCUAUGAAAUGUCCUGCACCUUUUCUGUUACAGAGAAUGUUUGAUUGCCUUGAUAGUGAAGAGAUUUUAAAGCCAUUUAACUUGCUAUAUAAGUUGAAUUGUAAAGAAUGUGGAGAUUUGAGUGCCUUAUAAUAAUUUUGGCUACAAAAAUCAGAUAUAUAUAGAGAGAUAGAAAUGGAAUCAAAUCACACGUAAUAAGAGACAUGCAUUUAGCAUGGAAUAUCAACCAAUCAAAUGGAAUAAAAUAUCAUGUCUUAUAUUCUAAUAUACGUUGGCAUGCAUUUUUCUACAAGAUUUUUUUGAAGGAAACGUUUUAUUCCAUAUGGGCUUACUUAGUGCGAAUAAAUCAAGAGUGUCACGCGCGGAAUUAGUGAUCAUGGUCGAUUAAAUUCAAUAGUUUUUAUUCAAUCAAUAUAUUCUUAUUUAAAAUAAUUAUUAAAUAUAUAUUAAGUUUAAAACUUAAUUAUAUUUAAUAGAAAGUCGUCAUUUUAAAAUUUUAAAAUUUAUAAAAUUAAAAUUAUGACUCUGCCUAUAUAAAUCAGAGCAAUUAUUUUGAACACGAAAAAUAAUCGAACCGACAACAAAAAAAGUUAGAGAAUAUACUCCUCACUAUAGUGAGUUGUCAAAAUUGAAUGCAUGAGGAUAGAGAUUGAGCCCAAGUUGAUUAAGGUUGAAUAAUAUAAUAUAUUACCCACAAAAAAAUUGGCAUUGUAUUAUUCUCACACGGUGAAUAUUAUUAGUUCACAUAUUCCACUUUUAGACGUUUUCUUCAUUGCCUUAUUAAAAAAAAAUGAACUAUCACUUGAUUCUAGUCGGCCCAAAUUACCUCGAGCUAAUUAAAGCCACAAGUUUCAGAAUAUUUUUUUUGCAAAGUUAUAGUUUAAUUUGACUUUUCUACUUAAUCUUAUAGUAUUUCCCUAAUUACUUGUCCACUUUUAAAUUGACACAUCUAUUAAGAAAACAAUAAUUGAGAGUUUACCAUUUUACCCCUAUUAAUUAUGAAGUUGAUGAAUUAAAAAUGUAAGAUCUUCAAGAAGUUAUAUUUUUUUUUUCAAAGUAAUUAAUUAAGGGUAUAAUAGGUAAAAAAAAUUGUUCUUUCUUGAUUUGUCAAAAUAAACAAGUAAUUAGGGAUAACUAAAAAAGGAAAAGUGGACAAGUAAUUAGGGAUAGAGGAAGUACUAAUGGUUUUUAAAAUUCACUUUUUUGCUUUGAUUUCUAAGUUCCAUCACUUGAUUAGUCUUAAUUUCAUUAUGUGAAAGCGGUAUCUGAAAAUCAUAAAUAUUUGAAUUUCAAAAUAUCAAGAAAUUUAAUAGACCUUAGUAACAUGUAUUCACAUCUUUUGCAUGUCUUUUAAAUAACUUUUGAUUUGGGGAAAGCUAGAAGCCGUUGUGGAGUAAGGAAAAUAAAUUUGGCAACAAUAUUUUUCCUUUCUUCUUGCUAUAUUUCGCUAUUGGUUAUGCAUUGUACUAUUGUGUUACCACAUACUUUAAUAAAUCAAGUAUUCAUGAUCCGUAAAAAAUAAAUUAGUGAGGCUAUAAUUAUUGUAGAAAAAAAAAUCGAUCAUUAGAAAAGUUACAACUCUAGCUCUCCUCAAUCAUAUAAUAUAAUUGAGAAAAUGCAAUUGUGUCACACUCACUCUAACAUGCUAAUUUGGGGAGUCAUUUUUCACUAAUAAUGAACAAGUUAGUGGCAAAUCAGAACAAUUCUAUAUAAAUCAUUCAUCAUAAGUAACUACAUCAAACAUAAUUGUUCCAAGAUACUCCUCUAACCGUCCCAUAUUUUGUGAACCAAACUAUUUUUUCUUUAAUUAUAAUUUUUUUCAAAGUUCAUUUUAAUGUUUUGAAUCAUUCACUGUAUUAGCUUGUAAUGAUUUUCGUAUAGCCAGCUAUCAUAAAGUUAUAAAUUUAUUUGUUUUAGCUGAUAUAGAAGAGAAGAGUGUACGCAGAGAAGUGGGAGGAAAAUCAUAAUUUCAUUCAUAACGUGAGCAAUACUAAUUAAAAUACAAAGUUACAAACCCAAAUUUAUUUAAGUAAACACUCCAAAAUACAUGAACAAAAAUAAGACUUCUAACAAUUGAGCUUUCGCUAUUCUAAAUUCUGAUUUACGGGAUGACAAGGAUCGACGUGUUUCUAUCUUACAAUUGGCUAAACUAGCUUCUAGGUCUCUGUUAAGUUUACAGAAUGAAUUUUGAGACCUCCUUUCCACUUUUUGUUCCAAACUUCAUACAAUCCAAAAUAAAUCUUAUCACUAUUGUUCCCCUUCCCUUUUGUUAUCGUAAUAGCUUUUGAUAUUAUCUUUUUACCAUUAAUCUCAGUUGUCAAAUUCACCUUUCUCCAUUGAGUGUUAUCUCCCCAUUUAGCCAUAAGAUAAAGUGGCGAACCACUCCAACCGAACGCAUCAGUCAUCAAUGACAUUGUAAAUCCAAUCUCGUAUGAUGUUUUCUUCGCUAUAUUAAUAUUGUCAAUGCAACCAGUUACCUCCAACCAAUUUACUUGCAUAAGUUCUGCAUCAUCCUUUCUGUAAUUCAAAUAUAUUUAAUGAAAACGUUAGCAUGCUUAAAUUCCAAAUUAUAAGGUAGUAUGUAGUAUAACCCAUUUAAUUUCUAUAACUUAGAUAAUUUGUUUUGAAAGUCUCUUUCAGCCAUUUUAAUUUAACGCUUUUGUAUAUACAACAAGAGAUUAGUAUAAUUAAAUUGACCUCAAGAUGAUUUAUGUACUCCUUAUAGAAAAUUGUAUGUUCAACUUCUUUAUGAAAUCGAAAUAUAUCUCAAAGUUCAAUUAUAACUUACAAGUAUCUAACAUAUUAUAGUCGGCAAAAAUAAAAAAUAAAAAGCAGUAUUCUUACUCGUAUUUGGGUAACUUCCAAUAACGUUUAUCAUUUCCCCAAAUAAUAUUAAGAGAUUUCGGAUAAACUAUAUAACCCUGCAAGCAACGAAAAUAACAUUAUUAAAUUAAUACAUAACAUAUCAUAAACUCGAUGGAUCGAGCAUAAGUAAUAAUGCAAGAAGGAAACAAAAAUUGCAAUAUUGGAAGAAAUUAAUGCAUGAAUUUCAUGCACCUUUUCUGAUUUAGAGAAUGUGUAAUUGCCUUGAUAGUGAAGAGAUUUUAAAGCCAUUUUUUGCUAUAUAAGAAUUUUUUUUAACAAAGAAUAUGUAGAAAGGACUGUUUCAACAUGUCAGCUUUCUGGUAUUAAAUUAAACUUUAAGGGUAUUAAAAUCUUUUAAAAAAAUUUGCAAGAUAAACUUGCUUUAAAAAGUUCUAUAUCUUGCAUUGUUAUUUGAUCCUAAGUAAAAACUCUUAAAAAGGUCCUCCUUUUUCAAUUCAACUACAAACUAUACCAUGCCAUUCAAGAAUAUGAUCGGUCCCACUUUCUUAAUAUGUCAUCGAAGAAUAUGACAGGUCCCACUUUCAUCUCUUUUUUUUUUUUUUACUUAAUUCAUUAUUCAAAAAUAAAUUUCAUUUUGAUUGUCAUUUUUCAUAUUAAUAUUUUUUUUUAAAUCACAUUUUAUCUAUCGUAUUAAUUAAUUAUUAAACAUCAAUUAAUAGAAAUAGUGUAAUAAAAUAACUAUAUCAAUUAUUUUUUAAUAAAUAGGUCAAACUUAAAUAUGACAAGUAAAAAUGAACAGAUAUACUAUAUAAUAAGAAGAGAUUGUAGAAAGGAUAAAUAAUGACAGAAUUAAGGAAAAUGUUAUCAUCUUAUUGACUGAGAUUUUUAUGGGAAAUUAAUUCACAUGCUCUAAUUAUAAUUAAUAAAGUAAAUAAAUGGUAUCAUUUAUUUUACUCUUAUAUUAAAAAUAAAAUAAAAUUGUUUUACUUUUUUAUUUUAAUAAAUUAAGAAAAUUAAUUAUUUUUGACUGACUUUAUCAUUAUCGUUAAGUAAUUAUAUAAAAUACUAAUAGUCAAAUUAAAAUUUUCAAAAUAUAAUUAAUAAAAUAAAUAAGGCAUCUUCCCCUAUGCUUAAUAUAUAUACUCUUAUUAUAUAAGAGAGAGUUCACACUGAAGCAAGCACGUCUCUGUCAACGUGCCCUGCUUCAGCAUGUUUCGAAAAAAAAAUUAAAAAAUGAUUUCUUUUGUUCUAUUAUAAUUUAACUAGUGUAUAAUAUUUUUGAAAUUAUGAGAUCCGUUUUAGCUAUGACUUUUAGUUUUGAAUUCAUAUUAUUUAGUUAUAGCUUUAUUAUUUUUAAUGUCGGUAAUAUUUGUUUAUAUCUUGUAUCUACUUUGAGUAAAAAAUUAACGAUUGAUGACGAAAAAUACUUUAAUUAUGGGGAUCUUAAUGGACCUCUUCACAUUAAAUUUGCACAAACCAAAAGUAAUUAACAAAUUAAGGACCUCUUCACAUUAAAUUUGAGCAAACAAAAAAUAAUUAACAACUUAAAAAAUAAUUUUAAAUUUUAUCUAUAUAACAUUAAUUAAAAUUAAAAAAUAAUAGAUAUUGGGCCCGUACUAGCACGGGCACCUGUGUCUAGUAUAAAUAGAAAUGGAAUCAAGUUAAGAUCAAUAUCACCAACCAAAUGGAAUAACACAGUCUUAUAUUUUCUAAUAUAAGUUGAUAGGCAUUUUUGUAAAAGUUUUUUUUUAAGGAAACGUUUAAAUUAUUCCUUCUGGGCUUACUCCGUACAAAUCUGAACUAAUCAGAGUGAUAAAGUGUCAUGGGCAAAGCUAGUAACUCGGAUAUUGAUUUGAUCUAACUCAAUAGUUUUAAUUUGCUCAAUCGUUAUAUUUGGUUGAAAACACUUAUUGGAUAUAUAUACAAUAUUAAAUUUAAAAUUCAGUUAUUAUUAUUUAAAGUCACCUUUUUAAAAUUCAGAACUUAUAAAAUUGAAAUUGUAACUCUACGGAUAAAUCAUACUAAUUAAUUUCGAACGUGGAAAAUGAUCGCACAUACAAAAAAAGUUAAGAAAAUAUACUCCACUUAAUAAUUAGUUGUCAAAAUUGAAUGCAAUGAAGGUAGAGAUUGAUUCCAAAUUGAUAAAGCUCGAAUAAUUAUAUGUCAACUGCAAAACUGGCUUUAUACUACUCAUAAAUAUUCUCACACGGUAAUUGGAAUAUUACAGUAGUAGUUUAUUAAAAUAUCGUUUUCAUUGCUUAUUUAUUAUUAGUUCACAUAUUCUACUUUUAUUAAAACCUUCUUUGAAUGAAAUAUAUAUCACUUGAUUCUAGUCAGCAUAUAUUUAUUCCAAAGUAAGUGUAAUUGUUCAAUGAAUACUUGUCUUAAUUUUAUUAUGUGCAUGAAAGCUGUAUUUGAAAAUCAUAAAUAUUUAAAUCAUAUUCUUGUAAAGAGUGAUGAUCAAACCAAAUAUCAGUCGAUGAAAUAACUUCGAAAUGUUGAAAAAACAUAAUGAAUUGUACAUAUAGCAAUUGUAUGAUUAAGUAAAUCAAAUAGAUACACAAGUAAUCUCGAUUAAAUUAAUUGUAUGAUAAUAAAAUGAAUUUUGGGGUAAUUGAAAUAUAUAGAAGAUCAAUUAUGCUUUGCCCGACCAUGAGUAUGUCAUGGUUAUUGUGGGAUGUUGUGAUGAAAAUUAAAUAAUCAGAUCGACUGAAAAAUAAUUCACAAGUGAUUAUACGUUUUUAUUAUUAGUGGAAAAGCAGUACUAUGGAAGUCAUCCAAGUAGAUGUGUAUCCCUCACUUUACAAUGGACUUAUGUACUCAGAGCUUUAGACAAAGUCCAUGAAGAAUCUUAAGAGAUAUGAUGUCAUGAUCCAGACCGUUGUGAGUGACACACACUAACAAUAACAACCUAGUGGGAGAACCAUGUACGAACCCAACAUCGUUCAAAAACCAAGUUUAUCAUAUAAAGAGUAAAACAAUUUAACAACCAAAGGAUUGAGUCCUCAUAAACUCAACUAAAUAGUUUUAAAAUGUUUAAUGCGGAAAAACCUCUAAGAACUAAAAGUCAUCAUAACCAAAAUUCUAAAAUAGUCAAACUGGGGAUGCAACCCCCGAAUCAAUCAAUAAACUAAAGACUAGUGUCUAUCUCCGAAAAGAUGGACAAGAAAAGCAGAAGACCCCAUGGCAACUCGAAAGAUGUAGCACACCCUUGUAUUCAAGACAUCUCUCAACUGAGGUCUUGGAUUAGCUGGUAGAAGAUGUGAAGUACUCAACAAAGAAAAGAACAAGUACAACAUCACUACACAAACCACAGUGUACUACUAGGAGCACACAAUCAAUCCAACAUAGGAAUGUAAACAACUCACCACAAGUAGUAACACAAAACAAUGCACAUGACAACAAUUAUCAACCACAUAAACUCUCAGUCACAUGUCAUGGAACAACAAUACCUAAGUCAACCAAUGCAUGACAACAUGUCCCAUAUGAUCACAAUGCAAAUGAUCAGUCCUUUCAUGGAACCACAAUCACUUACCUGGUUCUCUCACAUAACCCAAACCCAAAUUGUUAGUGUAUGACAUGGUAUCCGAUCGAGUCAUCCAUAGUUAGUAUAUCAGCAUGGUACCCAAGUCAACCAACAAUCACAAACAACAUGCACAAUCACAUAGAACAAUAAACAAUACCACUUGAAAACCACAAGUCGCAAUAACAAGUUCGUGGCAUGAGAUUACCUAUAUGAUGUCAUUUCAUAUGUCUUUCUGCUUUGCAUUGCACAAAUGAUACUACAAAGCAGCAGACAUGCAUACAUACAUUAUAAACUGGAAACAUACGACUAUAACCUACCUUGAAUCAAGCCUCUUCGAAACUAAAUAACACGAAUUUUCCCCCUUGCGAAGUGCAUCAACUUAUUCUUGGUCUAAAACAACAAUCAACCACUAAUGACUUCGAUUAUUAACAAAUCCUAACCCUUGGCCAAAACAUGAUCAUCUUCCCUAACUUAAGGUUCUUUCCCACCAUGGAAUUAUGGCAAACCUUCCCCUAAUAGCAAUAACGUAGAUUCUAAGGCUUAAGAAGCAAUGCAUAAGGUUGAGGAGUCGAAUUCUUACCUUUAUCGAAUAAUUUCGUGGGAAAACAUGUGCAAACUAUCCGAAAUUGCUCCUCUCAAGUCCCAGAACUCAAAGUGCAGGAAAUAAGAGUUUUGGGAUUGUUUCUGCACUAAAACUCGAUUGGGUCCAUUAUAGCGGCGUCGUUAUAGCGUACUAACCCAAUUAUAGCGGUCUGCACACUCUGUUGUAGCAGGAUGCCUUCCGCUAUAGCGGCCUCAACGAAACCUCCGAAACUCAAACUCUAGAAAAACGUCAGUUUUACAACACAAACUGCGCUCCCUUGAUGUCCCGACACAUACCUUUCACUCCAAAAUCAAUUUCGAGAGUUAAACUUAUCCGAAUUUGAUUUCGAAAGGCCCUAUGGACUCUUCGAUGUCUUGUCUACAAGAAUACAUCAACCAAACCUCAAAAAUCACAUCCCACCUAUCCCUGGAUGACCCUAGACCUCACCUAGCCCAGAUUUUAUCUAAGGCUAGUCUAGCCACAAAAAAAAAAGUCACUACCAGAAAAGUUUUCUAGCCCAAAUUAUUUCACUAUUGGCUUUGUAACAUAUCGCACUUAUAAAUGACUAUAAAGAAUUUAAAAAUAUGAAAUAUUGAUUUUUGGAAAGAAUAAGGAAAAUCUGGAAAUUUUUGUCUAAGUUAAGAAAAUGAGUUUUGGCCAUUUUCAAAAGGCCAUAACUCCUAGCUCAGGAUGAGUUAGGAUCAGCUCUUGAUAUGGUUGGAAAUCCCUUGGAGAUAUCUUUCCAACGCCGCAAAGUUUGCGCUAUUUUGACAUCAUAUGAGUGAGCUAUGCCUUUCGGAAGUUGGGUCUUCGAGUGCCAGUUCCGUCGAGGGUGUAGGCUCGGAGAGUGACAGGCUUACUCAUAACGACCGGGUUAGGUCGUUGCAUAUGAUCGUUUUAAAUUGACCCUUGCAUAAUCUCAUGUAAAAAAAUUAUCGGUAGGAAAACUUUGAACUCGACUUGGUGUUAGAGGUUCAUUAUGACCCUAAUUCACAUUUAAUACACUUCCAAUACUUAGAAAUUAGUUUAACACAGAUACAAAAUUAGAAAUCAUCGGAUUGGAAUAUAUACAUAUAUAUAUAUAUAUAUAUAUAUAUAUAUUAUAUAUUCAAAAAAUAGUUUGAAUCGUAGCUUAUAAUUUGUGGGUGAAUCUAGUACUAAUUUAUACUUCUUACACUUGGAUAAGUGAGUUUUAAAAUGCCACUAAGCUCAUAUAUAGACCUUAGUAACAUAUAUUCACAUCUUUUGCAUGACUUUUAAAUAACUAUUGAUAUGGGAAGAACUAGAAGCUAGCCGUCGUCGUGAAGACUUAUUGUUUGGAAAGUCAAUAAUUUUUCUUCAAAUAUGAUUUUCUCGUUUUUUUUUAAAUAUCAAUUUUGUUUUUAAACUUUUGAAAUUUUUCAUAUUCAAAAUAUAGUAUUUUAACCCUCAUAGAUCCCUACUACUUAUCCAAUAAAAUACGACAAAGGGAAAGGGUGUGAAGUCCCGAAGGAGAGAAUAUGAGAGGAAAAUCAAAUUUCAUUUAUUAUACGAACAAUAUUAAAUACAAAUACAAAUUUAAUUAAAAGAACACAUGACUCUAAAAUACAUGAAUAAGAUUUUUAACUUAAGUUUUUCCUAUAUUAAAUUAUGAUUUAUGAAUGAUAAUAAUCGAUGUAUUUCUAUCAUAUAAUUUUCUUGUAAUAUUGUUUUUUCACUCGACUAAAUUAGUUUUUAGGUCUCUGUCAAAUUUACAGAAUGAAUUUUGAGACCUCCUUUCCACUUUUUGUUCCAAACUUCAUACAAUCCAAAAUAAAUCUUAUCAGUAUUGUUCCCUUUUCCUUUUGUUAUCGUAAUAGUUUUUGAUAUCAUCUUUUUGCCAUUAAUCUCAGUUGUCAAAUUCACCUUUCUCCAUUGAGUGUUAUCUCCCCAUUUAGCCAUAAGAUAAACUGGUGAAUCUCUCAAACCGAACGCAUCAGUCAUCAAAGACAUUGUAAAUCCAAUCUCGUAAGAUAUUUUCUUCGUUAUAUUAAUACUGUCGAUGCAACCAGUUACUUCCAACCAAUUUACUUGAAUAAGUUCCGCAUCAUCCUUUCUGUAAUUCAAAUAUAUUUAAUAAAAACGUUAGCGUGCUGAAAUACCAAAUUAUGACAUGUAGUUUUACAAUCUAAUUAAUGUACAGAUUUAAUUUCUAUAUAUAAUUUAGAUUUGGUGCGCCCAUAAUUUGUUCUGAAAGUCUCUUUGCGCUAAUUUAUUGCCUACUUCACAUUUUUGCAUAUAUAUACCAUAAGAGAUUAUUAUAAUUAAAUUUAUCUCAACAUGAUUUAUGCACUCUUAUAUUGUCUUCAUUAUGCAAAAUGUAUUCCAUAUAGAAAAGUUUAUGUUCAACUUCUUUAUGAAAUCAAAAUAUAUCUCAAAGUUCAGCUAUAAGUUACAAGUACGUAACAUUAAAUAAUUGGCAAACAUUUUUAAAAAAAGAAAGAAAAAAAAGUUGUAUACUUACUCGUAGUUAGGUAACUUCCAAUAACUCUUAUCAUUUCCCCAAACAAUAUUAAGAGAUUUCGGAUAAACUAUAUAACCCUGCAAGCAACAAAAAUAACACUAUAUUAAAUAAAUAACAUAAACAUGAUGGAUCGAGCAUAAAGGAAAGUAAUAAUGGGAGAAACAAGAAUUGCAAUAUUGGAAGAAAUUAAUGAAUGAAAUUUCCUGUACUUUUCUGUUUUAGAGAAUGUUUGAUUGCCUUGGUAAUGAAGAGAUUUAGAAGCCAUUUAAUUUGCUAUAUAAGUUUGAAUUAUUAAAGAAUGUAGAGAUUUGAGUGCCUUAUAAUAAUUUUCGCUACAAAAAUCAGAUAUAUAUAGAGAUAGAAAUGGAAUCAAAUCACACGUAUUAAGAGACAUUUAGCAUAGAAUAUCAACCAAUCAAAUGGAAUAAAAUAUCAUGUCUUAUAUUCUAAUAUAUAUGUUGGCAUGCAUUUUUCUACAAGUUGUUUUAAGGAAACGUUUUACUCCUUAUGGGAUUUGGCUUACCUUACUCAGUGGAGUAGCCUGGAUACGGGUUCGACUGAACUCAAUAGUUUUAUUUAAGUAGUAUAUUUAUGUUUAAAAUAAUCAUCAAAUAUAUGUAUAGUAAAUUUAAAACUCAAUUAUUAUUAAUGAAAGAUCGUCAUUUUAGAAUUCAGAAUCCAUCAAAUUAAAAUUGUGACUCACUCAAAUUUACCAGUUAUUUUAAACGCGGGAAAUGAUAAAACCGACAAAAACAAAGUUAAAAAUAUACUCCUUACUAUAAUGAAUUGUCAAAAUUGAAUGCAUGAAGGUAGAGAUUGAGGCCAAUUGAAUAAUAUAAUAUACCCACAACAAAUUUGGCACUGUAUAUUAUUCUCACACGUUGAAUAUUUACAGUACUAUAUAUAGUUCACAUAUUCUACUUUUACAACUUUUUUUCAUUUAUUUUUUUAAUCAACUAUCACUUGAUUCUAGUCAGCCCAAAUUACCUCGAUUUAAUUGUAGUUAAAUUUGACUUCUCUACUUAAUCUUGGUUUUUAAAAUUCACUUUUUUUGCUUUAAUUAAACUUUGACAUGGAAGAUAUUAAUUAAUAUAAGAUAUUUGGUGAUAAUCAAUUUAUACCUAAACCGAAAAAAAGCAUAAUAAGUGAGGGGCCUAAUUAAGUUGGACAAAACAUGGUCAAAAUUCCUAUUAUUAAAUUAACCAGUAUACAUUCCCGCGCGUUGCACGGAUAAUAUAAAAAAUUAUUAUAUAUAUAUGAAAUGAAAGAACAAAUCACAUGAUCAUUUAAUAACUUGUACAAUAUACUUUGCGUUUGUUCGUUACUACAUUAUUAUUAACUACUUAAAAUCAUAACAUUAUCGACUAAAUUUUGAUUAACUUAUCACUUACUUUAAUAUUCUUUUUCGUUAAUCUUCUAUUUAUAUAAUACAAAUAAAUAUAUAUAUUUUCAUUAUAAAAUAUUAUUUAAUUUUAAUAAUAUUUUAAAUAUUAUAAGUUUAUUGUUAUUAUUGACACUCUUUAUUGUUUUUUUUUUUUUACUUGAAUUCAAGUAAAAACAUUUGCAAAUUAUUUGUAUUCUUUUGAACAUUUUUUGCACUAAGAUAUUUUAUAAGUUUUAUAUUUUUGUAUGUUAACGUAUUAAUAUCUUACUUAAUACUAAAUUAUGAUUUUAAAUUUGUCCCAAAGUACGAAUAGAGAUGUUUUUAAUAUUAUCAAAAUUGCAAGUGGUAUUUUCUCAUGGAUAAUGCUAAAGAAGUUAAAUUUUUUGAUGAAGGCAUUAGAUUAUUCCGAUCAUUGUAUUACUUAACAACACUAAUGACAUUCCUUCAAAUAUAAAUACUACCUUAUACAAUAAGAAAAGUAUAUAAUAUUUGAAGCUUUAAGUAAUAUAAAAAUUGAAUUAUUCUUUGUUAUGAUAUUUUAUUUUUAGAGAAAACGAAAAAGUAAGCGAAACUUGAUUUAUAUACGAAAGUUAUUUGUCUGCACAAUCAAGUGAAACUUAACUUAUAUACGAAAGUUAUUUGUCUGCACAAUAAUCACGUCAAAGUUGAUGUGUGACUUUAACACCUACAUAUCAAGAUCAUAAAACAUUAUAAUACAGCCAUGCAAACGAUUUAUACAAAGACAUAUUCACACACACCAUAUAUUUAAUUAGUAUCAUUUGAAUAUCACAUGCAUUUGAAUGAACUAUAUAUAUAUUGCCAGUAAGCUAGAGUUCAAGGAUCAUGCCCCAUUAAAUAUAGUAUUCAAUUAUAAGCAAACAGAAAAAAGAAAAAAGAAAAAAAAAAGAUAUGAAUUCAAUAUAACAAUAGAUAGUAUUUUGUGCUAGGAGUCAUCCUAGUAAAUUUGUCAAGUCAAUAUUUAAUACUCUUUCUAUUGCCAAAAUAAAUUAAAGUUAUCCAACAAUUACCAUCGCUAUAAUAUAUAAUGGAAAUUAAGAAUGUUUUGUUAAAUUUUUUAUUUCUUAUACAUUAAAAAAAUACACAUGUAGACUUGUAGUUGUUUAGUCUUCACCUUCAUAAAUUUUAAUAAAUUAACAAAUGUGACAUUUUUUCCAUAUCCAGUAUUACUCUUUAUUCUCUUUUUUAUUUGUACUAAGUUUGAAAUUACGCACAAAAAUUAAAGAAAUAAAUUAAUAAAGUGAACAAACUAUCUAAAUUUCAAAUAUAUGAAAUAUAAAUACAUACAUUGUCAUUAAUUCAAGUAGAUUUGGAGUUGCUCUUUUACUUCAAGAAUCCCCCAAACACGAAAAUCUCACUUUUUGUAUUCAACGGCAUAAGCAGAAAAGAUAUAGAAUUUAACACUUGAAUUCAAAAAUUGGAUCAAACGCAUUAUAUUAGAAUAUCUUAAGUUAAGAAAUAUCUAACUAUCAUCAUAUUUUUCAAUGCAUUAAAUAAUAUAUAUAUAUAUUCACUUUAAACUAUGAAUUAAUUAUGCGUCAGUAUGACUUACCAAAUAAAUUGAUGAAAAUAUAAUCAAUUACUAAAAUUUUGAGUGAUAUAUUCAAAUAUUUAUUGCAUUAAAAGAUCAUCAAAAAAGUAGCAAAAUAUUGCAAAAGAAAUAGAUUACCAAAAUUUUAGGAGAUACAAUUAGUUAUUAAUUUAUAUUACAAUAAAAGAUAGUCAAAAUCUGCAAAAGAAAUUUUAAACACUGCUUUAUAUAUAGCAUUGAUGCAAAAUUGGAGAAAUUUUUUCAGAAGUAUUAGAUUUGAUUAUGUUACUACUGAAAUAACAAUACAGUCACUCAUAUUUAUCUGUAUUAGAUAGAAAAUACAUGUGAUGCUUGGACAGAGAUUGAACAAAAUUAAUAAAUUACAUAAAGUUAUGUAUGAACAAUCAAGGCUCAAGAUAUUUCCUCACUAUCAAUAUUGAGAUUUGAAAACAUACAGUAAGUAAAGAGAAAAGAAGAGACAGAUAACGUAGUGGAUAGAAUUAAGGGUAAAUUUGAGAAGUUAUAACUGCUUUAAAUUUUAAAAUAUUUUAAAAUAGUUUAUCAAUUGUAGAAAAAUAUUAAAUCUUUUUUUAAGAUGCCGACAUUUGUCAUUAUGUGUGUAUGUUGAUGACAUGUGUCUAUUUUUAUUUUAAAUUUUGAAUUUGUAAUAUUUAAUUAGUAAUAUAAUAUUUAAUUAUUUAUAAUUUAAAAUUCUGAAAAUUUAUGAUAAUGACAUGUGGCGUUUUUUCUUCUCCUAUUAUAUAUAGAUAGAUUAGUUGGAUUCAUGAUAAUGUUUUAAAUGACGAAAGAAGUGAUUGUGUAUUUCCUUUAAUAUUUGCUUAUUGGCAUAUAUUUAUUCCAAAGCAAGUGUGAUUGUUCAAUGAAUACAACAACAGUAGAGUAGGUCUAGUUUUAUCUUAAUUUCAUUAUGUGAAAUCAGUAUUUGAAAAUCAUAAAUAUUUGAAUUUUAAAGCAGUAAGAACUUCAGUUGAUUUAAUUAAAUUAAAUUCUUGUAAAGAAUGAUGGUCAAACCAAGUAUAUAUCAAUUGAAAUAAGUUUAAAUGUUGGGAAAACAUAAUGAAUUGUAUACUACAUGGUAUAGGAAUUGGCCAAAAAGUAAAGUAAAUAAACAAAGUAAUCCGAUCAAAUUUAUUUGAGGAUAAUGAAAUGAGGCAUGAGCGUAAUUGAAAAUUGAAAUAUACAAGAUUAAUUUGCAUGACAACGUUUCAUAUUUUAGUAUCAUCACUCAUCUCAUAUUUUGUGUUAUUUUUUUAAGAAAUAACUUAGAUAGUUGUAUUUUGGUUGGACUUAUAAAGAAAUAUUUGGAGAACAAAUUAUUUAUAUGUUGUAUGAAUACUUUACCGAAAAAAUCCAAAAACCUGAAAAAACCCGAGGUUUAUUAGUUUGGUUUGAUUUAAAAAUUAAAAAAUUCGACACAAAUAAUUUGGUUUGGUAUUUGAAAAACCCGAACCAACUCGAGGUUGUAAAACUCGAAAAAAAAACCCCAGUUUUAUUAGUUUGAUUUGGUUUAUAAAUUUAAAAACUUUACACAAAUGGUUUGGUUUGAUAUUUGAAAAACGCGAACCAACCCGACCCUGCUAAUAAUAAACAAGUUGUGGCAAAUCAGAACAAUUCUAUAUAUUUCCAAACGAAAAGGAAGUUGUUGGGAAGGCUACAGGGAAUUCAAUCCUCUCCAAACUACCCUGGUAGCAACUUCUCCUAGACCUAGAAAAUAGACUUAUAAUCGAAUACAAUGAAAUCUUAAAAAGAGAGGAAGAAUAUUGGAAGCUCAGGUCCCGAAUAAAUUGGUUAGCAUAAGGUGAUGCUAAUACUAAGUUCUUCCACUCUACCACCCUAAAUCGUCGUAGAAGAAAUAAAAUCUUGUCCUUACAAAUAGACGACGGCAGUUGGUUAAGCAAUCAAAAUGACAUCCUAGAGUUCACCACCUCUUACUUUGCCAACUUGUUUAACUCUAACCACAACCAGUCCCCUAGAUGCUUCGUAACUCAAGAUCAUUCCUUAUCCAGAGAAGACCUUACCUCUAUGGGUGACACCUUAAGUGAAGGAGAAAUUGCACUUGCAGUCUUCUCCUUCAAGCCGCAUAAGGCGCCUGGGCCAGACGGUGUCCAUCCUUUCUUCUACCAAAAAUACUGGAAAACAGUAGGACAUUCAGUAAUAGAAUUCUGUAAAAAAAACUUGGGCAGAUGAAUGCAUCAACCCAGAAAUUAACAGCACAAAUGUGUGUCUUAUACCUAAAGAGAAAAAUGCUUCGAACCUAAAAGAUUUUAGACCCAUUAGCCUUUGUAAUACCACCUACAAGAUAAUUACUAAAAUCAUAGUAAACAGAAUUAAACCUAUUCUUAACAAAAUUAUUGGCCCCUGCCAGGCAAGUUUCUUUAAGAACAUGCAGGCUACCGAUAACGUUAUUAUUGUACAGGAGAUUCUAAACCACUUUAAAAAAAUGAAGGGUCAGUACGGAAAUAUGAUAUUAAAGAUAGACCUAGAGAAGGCCUUUGACAAGUUAGAAUGGUCUUUUGUGAAAUAUACCCUGCAUUUUUUCAAUUUUCCCCUAAAGAUCAUAAACCUCAUAAUGUCUUGCAUCUCUUCUAGUAAGAUUGCUAUCUUAAUUAACGGUACUACAACAAAAUAUAUUACACCCAACAGAGGAAUUAGGCAAGGGGACCCUAUGUCCCCUUACCUAUUCAUUAUGUGUAUGGAGGUACUUGCAAGAAAAUUAAUAGCCAAGUACUCCAGAAAGUGUGGAAACCCGUACGAAUCGCAGGAAAGGGACCUAAACUAUCCCAUCUAUUCUUUGCAGACGAUUUAGUACUUAUAGGAAAAGCGGAACUUGAAACUUGCUUAGCAAUAAAAAAAUACAUUGCAAGAUUUCUGCUGUAUGAGUGGACAGAGUGUAAACCAUGCUAAAUCAAAAAUUCUAUUCUCUAAUAAUUGUAGUAACUCACUCAAUCAAUCCCUAUCGGUAGCUAUAGGAAUCCAAGAAAGUAGUAACUUUGGGAAGUACCUUGGGUUCCCUAUUUUUCACCAAAAGCCCACAACUAGGGAUUUCCAAUUCAUUAUAGAUAAUAUGCAGUCAAAGUUAGCUAGUUGGAAAACGAAAUUCUUGAACAUAGCGGGUAGAACCACGCUAGCAAAAUUGUCCCUUAAUAGCAUCCCAACGUAUAUAAUGCAAUUAACUAAGCUGCCUGCUUGUAUCACGAAAAGGGUGGAUCAAAUCCAGCGUAAUUUUAUCUGGGGGUCCACGGAUAUUAAAAAAAAAGCUUCACCCUAUUAAUUGGAACUUAGUUACGACAAGCAAAAAAGAUGGUGGUCUAGGAAUCCAAAGAUGUAGCAUAAAAAAUAGAGUCAUGUUAGCAAGACUAGCCUGGAGGGUAUUUAAAAACCCAAAUGCCCUAUGGGCAAAAACGCUCCUAGACAUUUAUACAAAAUCAAAUGGUCUAAGGAAUAACUCAAAUCAUAAAAAACAAAAAAGUUCCUACUGGAAAAACAUAAUAAACGGAUGGGAAGAGUGCAAAGAAUGCAUUCACUGGCUAGUUAGGGACGGAAAACAAAUAAAUUUUUGGACGGACCAUAACUCCACGACGCUAAGAAACAUGCUUAGUGGGCCCCUUCCUAUGGAAGAUACGGAGAGGUUAGUUAAUUCAGUCAUUAUAAAGGGGCAGUGGAAGCUUGAGAAUAUUCCUUACCCUUUACUACAAAGUGUCAUUUAUCAAAUUAACAUCCCCCAUAUUCCAAAUCCAAAAGAUAAGCCUUAUUGGGCACUUACAGCUAAUGGGUCAUUCACCACAUCCUCAGUGUAUCAUCAUAUUAAGGGAAAAUUAAUCAAAACAUAAAGUUUCUUCCAAUAAGGAAUUUAACGGGAUCUGGAAACUCCAGUGCCCGAACAAAAUUAAAUUCUUCCUCUGGCUUAGCAAUCAUAGGUGUAACGACCCUAAAAACGAACUAGUGAAACUAGAGCCUCACAUGUGAGUUUGGAGUUGAGAACUUGAUGAAAUGAUGAGAAAUGACCAUGACGUUCGGAAACUAGUCAUUUGAACUAGUGAGUUGUAAGGGUCAACUUUAAAUGGUCAUAUCUUUUAGCUCAAAAUGAAUUAUGUGGACCUUUACCUAUCCAAUUAAAGGUCUCUGAGUCCUCUUUCCAACGCCAUUGAGUUUGCCCAAUUCCGACCUUGGAGUAAAACGUUAUGCCUGAAAUAGUGAAGCACUGUCCAAAGGACGAGUUUAGACGGGAAUGGGCACAAUUUUUAAGUCAAGACUUUAUGGGUCCUUAGUCCUUUUCCAAAAUUGACCCUAUGCUAUUCUUUUCCUUUCCUAGCAACUAUAAGACCUUUUUAUGACCCAAUUCCUUUCAUUUAAGUCACUCCUCUUAGAAUUUCCAAAAAAAAAUGAAGCUAUAUGUGAAGGUAUGAUGUGAAUGAGUUUUAUGUGAAGCUAUAUGUGAAGGAAUGAUGUGAAUGAGUUUUAUGUGAAGCUAUAUGUGAAGGAAUGAUGUGAAUGAGUUUUAUGUGAAGCUAUAUGUGAAGGAAUGAUGUGAAUGAGUUUUAUGUGAAGCUAUAUGUGAAGGAAUGAUGUGAAUGAGUUUUAUGUGAAGCUAUAUGUGAAGGAAUGAUGUGAAUGAGUUUUAUGUGAAGCUAUAUGUGAAGGAAUGAUGUGAAUGAGUUUUAUGUGAAGCUAUAUGUGAAGGAAUGAUGUGAAUGAGUUUUAUGUGAAGCUAUAUGUGAAGGAAUGAUGUGAAUGAGUUUUAUGUGAAGCUAUAUGUGAAGGAAUGAUGUGAAUGAGUUUUAUGUGAAGCUAUAUGUGAAGGAAUGAUGUGAAUGAGUUUUAUGUGAAGCUAUAUGUGAAGGAAUGAUGUGAAUGAGUUUUAUGUGAAGCUAUAUGUGAAGGAAUGAUGUGAAUGAGUUUUAUGUGAAGCUAUAUGUGAAGGAAUGAUGUGAAUGAGUUUUAUGUGAAGCUAUAUGUGAAGGAAUGAUGUGAAUGAGUUUUAUGUGAAGCUAUAUGUGAAGGAAUGGUGUGAAUGAGUUUUAUGUGAUCUUGUGAUGAUCCUAUGUAAAGUGGAUAGCAUUGUGAGUUAAAGUAUGAUUUCUCAUGAUGUAUAUAUGAAAUGAUGUUGGAUUAUGAAGUAUCCUUAAAUGAAAAUGUUGUGACUUGGUUGGUAGACUAAAGUGUCCCUCCUUGUUACUUAAAGUCUUGAAUGCAUGAAUGUGUGAAAUGGGCAAAACUAAGAAAUGGUGCCCUUUCAUAAGUCUAGCUUUCCUAAGUAAAUGUAAAACCAUGAAAUCGGUAGACCUAAUGGUGGUAGCCCUUCUCAUGUGUGAAAUGAUGAACCUUGGAUCGGUAGGCCUAAGGCACCCUUCUAGGGGGAUUUAAUGAGCUAUCCUUAUGAACCUUGAUUGGCCAUGACUAAGAAAUGGGGCCUUUCUUGGGAAGAGGUACUAUGAGUUGGUUGAACUAGAAAAGGAACCUUCUCUAAGUACAUAUGUGAUUGAAUACUCUAUGGGAAACAAGGCUAGCACCGAGUGGAUGUGGUUAGGAAGGUGGCCUAGUUGAGUAUGAGAUUAGGCACAAUGAACUUCCUUGGACAUCCCUUAACCAUGUGCCUACAUGGGUUGCUUACUAGUUCUACCUUUGGCAAGUAGAACAACCUCCACGGAGUAGGAUAGACUCCGGAUUCCAUACCUAGCUAGUAUGGUCUAUGUCGGUUAUGCCUAUUCCCAUCAUGUGGGAUGUGCACUCUAGUUAUUGGAUAGGUUCUACAACGUGUAGGUAGUAGUAUGGGAUGCUAUCUACACAUGGCACGAGUAGGCUUUGAAGAUACUAAAGUGAGUUCCCUAAGUCUAACGACUAUUAUGUGAAAGUCCCCUUAUGUGCUUGAAUGUCUCCAAAAUGGUUUCUUAAAGAAUGUUGGUCUAUUGAUGUUAUGUUGUAAAGGAAAUGUCCUUAUCUAAGGUAAUCUUGGGGAACACUUAAGUGUGCUUGAAGAGGUUGUAUGGGCGGUCACUUCUUGUCUUACUCAAGUGUGUCUUAAGGUUUAAUUAGGUAGAGGUCCUAUGGUAAUGAAAUGACAAUGUGUUCUUUUAUAGCUAAGCAUGGGUUGUAUAUGGACUUAUGUUAAGUAUGUGUGUGCUUGGCUAUGGUCUUAUAUGUUAAUGUUGACUUGUUUUAUGUCUUUUAUACUUGUGAAGUGAAGGUUUUUAUCAAAAUGAUAUGAAGGCAUACAUUCCUUGUAAAUGUCCGUUGUGCAUAUUUUCUUGCAUGGACUCCAUACUUAGUACUUAAUUUUGCUAAUCCCUUUCUUUCCCUUUUUGGACUAAAGUGUAGGGAUUUGGAGAUGGUGACAUGUCAUGGCUACUUGAUAGGUUUCUAAGUGUUGGAGAUGAAGACUUGGUGAGUCCUCAUAGAUUCGAGGACAAUACCCUACAUGUUCCUUUUGAUGUAUUUCUAGUAUUGUUUAAGUUGUGUACGAGAUUAGUCCCAAAUUUUGUACUCUAAAGUAUUAGAUGGUUUUGAGACAUCAUGUAUAAAGUCUAGAAAGUCUUCCGCUUGCUAUUAUUUUGAUUUUUUUUAUGAAAUGUUUUCUUGGUAAAGAAAGUUUUAAAUUCCUUAUAGUUUUAGUGUCUAUGCGAUGAAUGAAUGCUAAGAGGCUUGUAUUAGACCUCUUCGAGGUCGAGUACGCCGGUUACGAAUAGGGGGUGCUCCCGGGUCGUGACAAUAGGAGACUACCGACAAGCCAGCAUCUACACUCUAUUGGGAUCAACAUCAGUCCAAUUUGUCCUAUAUGUGGAGAUGUAGAAACCGAUACACAUAUCUUUGUAGAAUGCCCCAAAGCAUUAAAACUUUGGGAAAAAUUAGGCCUAGUCGAUCAGUUAAAACCUAUCCUAGAUAAGAGAGAAACAGACUAGCUUUUUACAAUUAGGAAAAUCAAGAAUUUUAACAUACAUUGACUCGAAUUACGCUUUUCCUUACUAUGUAUGGAGCAUAUGGUUGAACAGGAACCAUAAUUUCCAUAAUGAAAAGAAAGACGACAUCUUAACUUCCAUACCGCUAGACAGAGCAUUAGAGUUCUUCUACCUAGGUUUAAAGGAAAACGUUGGAAAUAAGACUAGAACUAAUCUAAAGUGGGUGGUGCCCGAAACGGGCUUUAAACUAAACACGGAUGGUUCUUUUAAUUAUCUCACGAGGAAGGGGGGAGCGGGAGGAGUUUUACGGGAUACUAGGGGUUCUUGGAUAACAGGGUUCUCAACAAAGACAAACGUUAUGAAUGCGCUCCACACUGAAAUAUUAGCUCUCCUAAUGGGAUUAAGAAUGGCAGAUAGACACAAGUUAACACCACUUCAAAUAGAAACAGACUCAUCAGACAUCCUUGUGCUGAUUUACGAAGGAAACGAUUCUUUUUCUAACAUAAUCCUUGAAUGCAGGGCAUUGCUCCAGAGGCAGGGGAACCCACAGAUCACCCUUAGACGCAGGGAGCAGAACCAGGUGGCGGAUAGAUUAGCUAAAGAAGCGGUUAAGCUAAAGGAAAACAUAGAUUUUGUGGAAUGGUCAGCCCCACCCAUGUUCAUCAUGAAGAAUAUCGAUGCGGACAAGGAGGGAGUAACCUUUAUUAGGCCUGACAUGCCACCUUCAUCACCGAAUAGUGUAACUCUAGUUGAUAAUGUAGUAGGUAUUCCUGUAUUUUGUAACAUGGAGCGGACAUCUACUUCUUUGUUCAGCACGAAUACUAUAGAUGCUGGAAAGAAGGGAGCAAAUUUUCAGACCUUUGACAUGCCUCCUCCAUCUUCGGAUAGUAUAGCCUUAGUAGCUAAUUUACCUAGUAUUCAAGCUGAUUGUAAUGCUUCUAGCCACCUGAAUUGUAUGGAUGCAUCAUAUCAUAUUAUACUAAAAGUGGAAAGUCACAAACUUAAAAGUUGAAAUACCAUUUUAUCCUUAUCCUAAUUUAAAAUAUCUAAUUAAAUAAUAAUAUUCUAAUUACCUAAAGAUUGAAAUAUUUAAUUAAAUAAUGAUAUUAAAAUCACAUAAAUGGUGAGUGAAUGAAAGUUCAGUAGUGUUUUUUUGUGUGUUUAAUUUUUUAGAAGUUCAACAGUCUCAUUUAAUGCUGCAUAUUCAGUUUUCCCUCAAUAUGCCCACAUAAUUUAUUUACUACAAUCUUAACCAAGCAUCCUUAUUAAUCUUUUUCCUCAAUUUUUGUUUUUUUUUUUCCUUUUUGAUGUAAAAUUUCUGCCCUUUAAUUUCUAAUUUCCAAAUAAUAUUAUUUUUUACUAUUCAUGUUAAACGUAAUACCUCUAUAGCUAAAAGUUGUCUGUUCAAUUCAUAUAACUGCAUCUUUAAAGGUAAUGUACAUUGUACUGACUUUUUCUUUUCCCAACCAUUAAUUUUUCCUCACAAUUUAAUAUAUUCUUAAUUGCUCUCUAUAAAGGUCCGCAAUAAGUUGUUUUCUUUUUAUUGUUCUAUUUGUCUUCUUCUCAUAUACAUUUUUUCCAGGUAUGAUCACAACUAUUAUUUCACUGUUAAUAUGUCAUUGCUUUUGUUUUGUUACUUUCGUUUCCUCUUGAAUUUCAUUGGAUGUCACUUAAUUUAUCGACAUGUUUUGUUUUUGAUUUCUUUCCACCUUUACCCUUUUGUUUGAGCAAUUCUCUAAUUGAGGCUUUCGACUUGGAAAAUGUUUGUUGUUGAGAUACUUUCAUACAUAUAUUUGUCAAAAUAUAAUCCCUAUCAAUUAUAUAGAUUUUGUUCGAUUAGAAAUUACAUUUAUCAUUGGUUAACUCAUUGUCUCUUUAUGUGUAAUUAUUAAUACUUUUACAGGUUUCUUGCUUAUUACUUCCACAUAAUUGGCAUGGUAACACUUUCUCACUUUGUAUUUACUUUUCAAAAACUAAUUUGGUAUUUAUAUUAUUGUUGGAUGAAGUAUACCAACUGCUUGAUUAGUAUCUCUCUAUCUUCAGAAACUCAAAGUAAUCAAAAUAAAAAAUUUAACUUUGAACAAAUAUAUUUAUAGAUUACUAAAACUUACUAAUUAUUUCUAGCGUUAUAUCCACAGCCUAAUCUUAUCCCACAACUUUUAAUUUUCUUCGGGCUAUCUGCUUCUUUUAUUUUCAGUUAAAUUUGUUCAUAUCCUUUAUUUAGAUGCAAUAAAAUUUUACAAUACUCCAAGUUUUAAAUGUAUCAUAUUAAUAUUCUUAUGUCGAUAGUUAUUAAGGAUCUCUAUAACCAGUAGUUAUUACUUUCUUCCCCAGGUGUACAUCAUAAAAUUGACAGUGAUCCCAUGCAUCCAAAUAAAGAUAUAUGUUAAUUGAAUUUCCGUACAACUUUAACAUAUGACUGUAAUAUGGUGGAGGUUACAAUUUUGUAAAGACAAGACACAAGCAUUAAGGCAUGAAGUAUUUGUAAUCAUAAGUGAUGUUGCUCAUAUUCAUAUUUGAACUAUGUAUUGUUGAACUAUCACAUAAAUUAAAUAAUUUGAUAAAUUAAGAAAACCUCAUAAGAAAACGUCAUAUAAUUUGUGGAUUGUGUACAACUACCGACUAUAGUAAUAGUGGCCGAAGUAAAAGAAUAACACUAAAGAAACUUUUUCUUUUUUUGUUUUGAAAAUAAACACCUCUUAAAGUGAAUAAAUCACUUUUUAUAUGGUAAUUUAUUUAUUGAAUUUGUACUUACCCAAAUUAAAGCCUCAUCUUUAUAAGUUUGUGUAUAAGAAUGCUAUUAUGUUGUUAUCAGAUGAUGUAAAGUUUGUUUUUUCAUGCUACACUAGCUAUGCCAAAAGGCACAUGGAUAGCUAUAGAUAAUAAGAAUUUAUUUUAAUUUGAAUGAGACUAUAACAAAUUUAAUAUCACGAUACAUAUGUAUCAUCUAAAGUCUUGAGAACAAAUACUUACUCUAUUUAUGUUAAAUUAAUAUCUAAUAUAAUGUUAAUAUACAUUAUUUAAGAUUUUUAUUUGUACGUUGUUGUGCCGGAGAGAUUCUUAGAAAGAGUUUGAGUCAAUUUUUUUAACUUUAAUAAUUAGUUUUAAAAUAUAAUUGUUCUACUCAUUCAUCUCAAGUUCAACUAUGAUAUUGUUUUGACAUAUAUGAACACCAAUUAUCAAUUUGAGUUUUUUCCUCUUUUAAUUUAAUUUUGAAUCUCACACUAAUAUUUUAAUAGUAUUUAUUAAUUGUUAGGAAUACACGUGCAACGCACGUGUCCAGGACUAGUAUUAUAUAUAAAUAAAUUAACUCCUUCUCAACCAAAAAAAAAAAAAGAACAAUUCUAUAUAAAUCAGUCAUCGUAACUACAUUAAACAUAAUUCCACGAUACUACUCUAACCGUCCCAUAUUGUGUGAAAAUGUAAUACUAUGUUGUGAACCAAACUAUUUUUUCUUUAAUUAUAAUUUUUUCCAAACUUCAUUUUAAUGUUUUGAAUCAUUCACUGUAUUAGCUUGUAAUGAUUUUCGUAUAUAUAUAGUAUAUCCAGCUAUCAUAAAGUUAUGAAUUUCAUGAACCUUUUCUGUUUUAGAGAAUGUGUAAUUGCCUUGAUAGUGAAGAGAUUUUGAAGCCAUUUUUUGCUAUAUAAGAAUUUUUUUUUACAAAGAAUAUGUAGAAAGGACAGUUUCAACAUGUCAGCUUUCUGGUAUUAAAUUAAACUUUAAGGGUAUUAAAAUCUUUUAAAAAAAUUUGUUGCUUAAAAAAUUAGUUCUAUAUUUUGCAUUGUUAUUUGAUCCUAAGUAAAAACUCUUAAAAAGGUCCUCCUUUUUCUAUUCAACUACAAACUAUACCCAUUCAAGAAUAUGAUCGGUCCCACUUUCUUAAUAUGUCAUCGAAGAAUAUGACAGGUCCCACUUUCAUCUCUUUUUUUUUACUUAUUCAUUAUUCAAAAAUAAAUUUCAUUUUGAUUGUCAUUUUUCAUAUUAAUAAUUUUUUUAAAUCACAUUUUAUCUAUCGUAUUAAUUAAAUAUUAAACAUUAAUUAAUAGAAAUAGUGUAAUAAAAUAACUAUAUCAAUUAUUUUUUUAAUAAAUAGGUGAAAUUUAAAUAUGACAAGUAAAAAUGAACGGAUAUACUAUAUAAUAAGAAGAGAUUGAAGAAAGGAUAAAUAAUGACAGAAUUAAGGAAAAUGUUAUCAUCUUAUUGACUGAGAUUUUUAUGGGAAAUUAAUUCACAUGCUCUAAUUAUAAUUAAUAAAGUAAAUAAAUGGAAUCAUUUAGUUUACUCUUAUAUUAAAUAUAAAAAAAAAAUUGUUUUACUUUUUUAUUUUAAUAAAUUAAGAAAUUAAUUAUUUUUGCCUGACUUUAUCAUUAUCGUUAAGUAAUUAUAUAAAAUACUAAUAGUCAAGUUAAAAUUUUCAAAAUAUAAUUAAUAAAAUAAAUAAGGCAUCUUCCCCUAUGCUUAAUAUAUAUACUCUCUUAUUAUAUAAGAGAGAGUUCACACUGAAGCAAGCACGUCUCUGUCAACGUGCCCUGCUUCAGCAUGUUUCGAAAAAAAAAUUAAAAAAUGAUUUCUUUUGUUCUAUUAUAAUUUAACUAGUGUAUAAUAUUUUUGAAAUUAUGAGAUCCGUUUUAGCUAUGACUUUUAGUUUUGAAUUCAUAUUAUUUAGUUAUAGCUUUAUUAUUUUUAAUGUCGGUAAUAUUUGUUUAUAUCUUGUAUCUACUUUGAGUAAAAAAUUAACGAUUGAUGACGAAAAAUACUUUAAUUAUGGGGAUCUUAAUGGACCUCUUCACAUUAAAUUUGCACAAACCAAAAGUAAUUAACAAAUUAAGGACCUCUUCACAUUAAAUUUGAGCAAACAAAAAAUAAUUAACAACUUAAAAAAUCUAAAAAUUACAUUAAAAUUUAAUCAACUUUUUAAAUUUUAUCUAUAUAACAUUAAUUAAAAUUAAAAAAUAAUAGAUAUUGGGCCCGUACUAGCACGGGCACCUGUGUCUAAUAUAAAUAGAAAUGGAAUCAAGUUAAGAUCAAUAUCACCAACCAAAUGGAAUAACAUAGUCUUAUAUUCUAAUAUAAGUUGAUAGGCAUUUUUGUAAAGUGUUUUUUUAAGGAAACGUUUAAAUUAUUCCUUCUGGGCUUACUCCGUACAAAUCUGAACUAAUCAGAGUGAUAAAGUGUCAUGGGCAAAGCUAGUAACUCGGAUAUUGAUUUGAUCUAACUCAAUAGUUUUAAUUUGCUCAAUCGUUAUAUUUGGUUGAAAACACUUAUUGGAUAUAUAUACAAUAUUAAAUUUAAAAUUCAGUUAUUAUUAUUUAAAGUCACCUUUUUAAAAUUCAGAACUUAUAAAAUUGAAAUUGAAACUCUACGAAUAAAUCAUACUAAUUAAUUUCGAACGUGAAAAAUGAUCGCACAGACAAAAAAAGUUAAGAAAAUAUACUCCACAUAAUAAUGAGUUGUCAAAAUUGAAUGCAAUGAAGGUAGAGAUUGAUUCCAAAUUGAUAAAAGCUCGAAUAAUUAUAUGUCAACUGCAAAACUGGCUUUAUACUACUCAUAAAUAUUCUCACACGGUAAUUAGAAUAUUACAGUAGUAGUUUAUUAUAAUAAUAUCGUUUUCAUUGCUUAUUUAUUAUUAGUUCACAUAUUCUACUUUAAUUAAAAUAACCUUCUUUGAAUGAAAUAUAUAUCACUUGAUUCUAGUCAGCAUAUAUUUAUUCCAAAGUAAGUGUAAUUGUUCAAUGAAUACUUGUCUUAAUUUUAUUAUGUGCAUGAAAGCUGUAUUUGAAAAUCAUAAAUAUUUAAAUCAUAUUCUUGUAAAGAGUGAUGAUCAAACCAAAUAUCAGUCGAUGAAAUAACUUCGAAAUGUUGGAAAAACAUAAUGAAUUGUACACGAUAUAUGAUAUAGCAAUUGUUUGAUAAGUAAAUCAAAUAGAUACACAAGUAAUCUCGAUUAAAUUAAUUGUAUGAUAAUAAAAUGAAUUUUGGGGUAAUUAAAAUAUAUAGAAGAUCAAUUAUGCUUUGCCCGACAAUGAGUACGUCAUGGUUAUUGUGGGAUGUUGUGAUGAAAAUUAAAUAAUCAGAUCGACUGAAACAAAAUUCACAAGUGAUUAUAUGUUUUUAUUAUUAGUGGAAAAACAGUAUUAUGGAAGUCAUCCAAGUAGAUGUGUAUCCCUCACUUUACAAUGGACUAAUGUACUCAGAGCUUUAGACAAAGUCCAUGAAGAAUCUUAAGAGAUAUGAUGUCAUGAUUCAGACCGUUGUGAGUGACACACACACUAACAAUAACAAUCUAGUGGGAGAACCAUGUACAAACCCAACAUCGUUCAAAAACCAAGUUUAUCAUAUAAAGAGUAAAACAAUUUAACAACCAAAGGAUUGAGUCCUCAUAAACUCAACUAAAUAGUUUUAAAAUGUUUAAUGCGGAAAAACCUCUAAGAACUAAAAGUCAUCAUAACCAAAAUUCUAAAAUAGUCAAACUGGGGAUGCAACCCCCGAAUCAAUCAAUAAACUAAAGACUAGUGUCUAUCUCCGAAAAGAUGGACAAGAAAAGCAGAAGACCCCAUGACAACUCGAAAGACGUAGCUCACCCUUGUAUUCAGGACAUCUCUCAACUGAGGUCUUGGAUUAGCUGGUAGAAGAUGUGAAGUACUCAACAAAGAAAAGAACAAGUACAACAUCACUACACAAACCACAGUGUACUACUAGGAGCACACAAUCAAUCCAAGAUAGGAAUGUAAACAGCUCACCACAAGUAGUAACACAGAACAAUGCACAUGACAACAAUUAUCAACCACAUAAACUCUCAGUCACAUGUCAUGGAACAACAACGCAUAAGUCAACCAAUGCAUGACAACAUGUCCCACAUGAUCACAAUGCAAAUGAUCAGUCCUCUCAUGGAACCACAAUCACUUACCUGGUUCUCUCACAUAACCCAAACCCAAAUUGUUAGUGUAUGACAUGGUAUCCGAUCGAGUCAUCCAUAGUUAGUAUAUUAGCAUGGUACCCGAGUCAACCAGCAAUCACAAACAACAUGCACAAUCACAUAGAACAAUAAACAAUACCACUUGAAAACCACAGGUGACAAUAACAAGUUCGUGGCAUGUUAGGGCUUGGAGAAAAGAGAAAGGAAGAAAGAAAGGGAGAAAAGCCAAGAUUUCGCCAAGAACACUCAAGCCUUGCGAGUGGAAUUCGUCGGGGGUGAUCCCUACAAGGUAUGUGAGAUCACAUAGUGUUGGGUUAGUUCACCCACACGCCAAACUUGUUUCAAUUCAGCAAAUUUGGAGUUGUUUGAAUGUUAAGAAAGUGAAGUUCUUGAAGAACAUUGUUGAAUUCUUGUUGGUUGAUUGUUGAAUGCCUAAUGUUGAUUUGAUUCGUGGUUCCGGGUUGUUUUAGAGUUAAAUAUAUUGGGUAUUGAGAGUAAUAAUGAUCCUAAUUGUUUGGGGAAAGAACUAUGGAAGUUUAGAGAUGAAAAACGGAGAAGAAAAAUCGUCAAAAACCUGGGGAAGGAGGUGGGGCGUCACGCCAGCCAGCGCACCCCAGAAGCUCCUCUGACGUUUGAGGACUGGCGCCCCGCGCCUCACAGAGCACCAGGGACGCCAGUUCUCUCCAUUCUUUCCCCACCUUUUUGUACAUGUUCCUUAGUGAUGUACCUACGUUUUCUAGUUGAUUCCAACACUCUAAGGUACAUCUAAAUAUCAUGAAAUCAUCCAUAAAUAUGAAAUCAUGAACCUUGAAUCCAUAAUCCAAUUCAAGGAAAGUUAAGAUCAAAGUCAAGAGAAGUAAGAGUCAAGUCAAGAUAAGUUCUUAGAGUUUUUCAAGUCUUUUUCAAAUGUUUUAACUUUGUUUUAAGACUUAAAGUUCAAGUUGAGUAAAGAGUAAAGAGUAAAGUUUGAAGUUCAUUUCUUCAAAAGUAUAUGAGGACUAAGUAUUCCCAAAGAGAUUUAAAAUGUUUUCACAUUUAAAUAAGACGGAAACUGAGAUUUCCAAAGAGGCUUCGGGCUAGUUUUCAGAAAAAGUAAUCGCUUUCUAAAAGAAGCAAGAAGGGAAAUUUUGAUUUCCAAGAUAGCCUUUGAGCUAAAUUUUUGAGCACUAAUCUCAAAUCACAGAAGAAGUAUGUUUUUAAAACAUAAGAGCCAGUAUAUUUUGGGAGUAGUAUUGAGCACCGAAUUGGGGACGAGCAUGAGUUUAGAUAACUCAUGUCACCAUAGAACCAUGUAGCCAUCAUGGGUAGAAAAGGGUCAUACUUUUUAGAUGAAUCCUUUUCGCAAUAGACUAGUGGAUCCAUUAGGUCAUUUCAGGUUCUAUACCUUUGGCCGGGUAUAGGAUGUGCUGGCAGCGUGAGGUAGAUCGUUGUAUCAUCACUAUAGCUCUUAUGUGAUGGUUGUCGGUAAGAGAAACUCCCACAGAAGUUAUUGUAUUUUUAUAUAUAUCAGUUUAUUGUAUGUUACAUACAUUUAAGAGUUAUGUUGUAUCCUUGUAUAUACAUAGAGUUGACAUCAUAUUUUUAAACAGUUUUUCUUUAUAUUGCACUUGUUUAAACUGCUUUAUAUUGAAAUGAGUUCAGUUAAGUAUUCAUGAGUUGAAAAAAGCCAAGGUAAGUGUUUCUUUCAGAUUCUCUUUCCAGCCUAUAUUGUUUUAGCAUUCCAACUCGCAUACUUGUACAUUCAAUGUACUGAUGCCAGUUGUCCUGCAUUUUAUUAUGAUGCAGACACAGGUAACUAAGAUCGGUAUUCCAGCGCACCGUUGAUCUAGUGAGCAGUUCAGAGUCAGUCGGUGAGCCUUUUUGCAUUCCAGAGGACUCAUUUUUAUUGCUUUCUAGUUAGUUCAUUAGGAUGUUGUGGGUUGUCCCAACAUCCAUCUCAGUUGUUUUAGAGGCUUCAUAGACAGUCAGAUGUUAGUCCUUUGAGUCUUUUCAUUAUUAGAUAUUAUUGUUAAGACUUCGGUUGCCACUUUUGGCCAAGUUGAAUGUUUAAUCUUUAAAACAUUCUCAGUUAUUUUAUUUCAGUUCAGUUAAGUUCAUUUAUCAUUAUAGAUAUGAAUAUUGUCUUCCGCUGAGUUAAGUAAGCCAGGCCAAGGGUUCGCUUGGGGCCAACAAUGGUCUUCGAGUGCCAGUUCCGCCCAGGGUGUAGGCUCGGAGAGUGACACGCUUACUCAUAACGACCGGGUUAGGUCGUUACAUAUGAUCGUUUUAAAUUGACCCUUGCAUAAUCUCAUGUAAAAAAAUUAUCGGUAGGAAAACUUUGAACUCGACUUGGUGUUGGAGGUUCAUUAUGACCCUAAUUCACAUUUAAUACACUUCCAAUACUUAGAAAUUAGUUUAACACAGAUACAAAAUUAGAAAUCAUCGGAUUCGAAUAUAUACAUAUAUAUAUAUAUAUAUAUUAUAUAUUCAAAAAAUAGUUUGAAUCGUAGCUUAUAAUUUGUGGGUGAAUCUAGUACUAAUUUAUACUUCUUACACUUGGAUAAGUGAAUUUUAAAAUGCCACUAAGCUCAUAUAUAGACCUUAGUAACAUAUAUUCACAUCUUUUGCAUGACUUUUAAAUAACUAUUGAUAUGGGAAGAACUAGAAGCUAGCCGUCGUCGUGAAGACUUUUUGUUUGGAAAGUCAAUAAUUUUUCUUCAAAUAUGAUUUUCUCGUUUUUUUUUUAAAUAUCAAUUUUGUUUUUAAAGUUUUGAAAAUUUUCAUAUCCAAAUUCAUAUUCAAAAUAUAGUAUUUUAACCCUCAUAGAUCCCUACUACUUAUCCAUAAAAUACGACAAAGGGAAAGGGUGUGAAGUCCCGAAGGAGAGAAUAUGAGAGGAAAAUCAAAAUUUCAUUUAUUAUACGAACAAUAUUAAAUACAAAUACAAAUUUAAUUAAAAGAACACAUGACUCUAAAAUACAUGAAUAAGAUUUUUAACUUAAGUUUCUCCUAUAAUAAAUUAUGAUUUAUUAAUGAUAAUAAUCGAUGUAUUUCUAUCUUAUAAUUUUCUUGUAAUACUGUUUUUUCACUCGACUAAAUUAGUUUUUAGGUCUCUAUCAAAUUUACAGAAUGAAUUUUGAGGCCUCCUUUCCACUUUUUGUUCCAAACUUCAUACAAUCCAAAAUAAAUCUUAUCAGUAUUGUUCCCUUUUCCUUUUGUUAUCGUAAUAGUUUUUGAUAUCAUUUUUUUGCCAUUAAUCUCAGUUGUCAAAUUCACCUUUCUCCAUUGAGUGUUAUCUCCCCAUUUAGCCAUAAGAUAAACUGGUGAAUCUCUCCAACCGAACGCAUCAGUCAUCAAUGACAUUGUAAAUCCAAUCUCGUAUGAUAUUUUCUUCGCUAUAUUAAUAUUGUCGAUGCAACCAGUUACUUCCAACCAAUUUACUUGGAUAAGUUCUGCAUCAUCCUUUCUGUAAUUCAAAUAUAUUUAAUAAAAACGUUAGCGUGCUGAAAUACCAAAUUAUGACAUGUAGUUUUACAAUCUAAUUAAUGUACAGAUUUAAUUUCUAUAUAUAAUUUAGAUUUGGUGCGCCUAUAAUUUGUUCUGAAAGUCUCUUUGCGCUAUUUUAUUGCCUACUUCACAUUUUUGCAUAUAUAUACCAUAGGAGAUUAUUAUAAUUAAAUUUAUCUCAACAUGAUUUAUGCACUCUUAUAUUGUCUUUUCAUUAUGCAAAAUGUACUCCAUAUAGAAAAGUUUAUAUUCAACUUCUUUAUGAAAUCAAAAUAUAUCUCAAAGUUCAGCUAUAAGUUACAAGUACGUAACACUAAAUAAUUGGCAAACAUUUUAAAAAAAAGUUGUAUUCUUACUCGUAGUUAGGUAACUUCCAAUAACUCUUAUCACUUCCCCAAACAAUAUUAAGAGAUUUCGGAUAAACUAUAUAACCCUGCAAGCAACAAAAAUAACACUAUAUUAAAUAAAUAACAUAAACAUGAUGGAUCGAGCAUAAAGGAAAGUAAUAAUGGGAGAAACAAGAAUUGCAAUAUUGGAAGAAAUUAAUGAAUGAAAUUUCCUGUACUUUUCUGUUUUAGAGAAUGUUUGAUUGCCUUGGUAAUGAAGAGAUUUAGAAGCCAUUUAAUUUGCUAUAUAAGUUUGAAUUAUUAAAGAAUGUAGAGAUUUGAGUGCCUUAUAAUAAUUUUCGCUACAAAAAUCAGAUAUAUAUAGAGAUAGAAAUGGAAUCAAAUCACACGUAUUAAGAGACAUUUAGCAUAGAAUAUCAACCAAUCAAAUGGAAUAAAAUAUCAUGUCUUAUAUUCUAAUAUAUAUGUUGGCAUGCAUUUUUCUACAAGUUGUUUUAAGGAAACGUUUUACUCCUUAUGGGAUUUGGCUUACCUUACUCAGUGGAGUAGCCUGGAUACGGGUUCGACUGAACUCAAUAGUUUUAUUUAAGUAGUAUAUUUAUGUUUAAAAUAAUCAUCAAAUAUAUGUAUAGUAAAUUUAAAACUCAAUUAUUAUUAAUGAAAGAUCGUCAUUUUAGAAUUCAGAAUCCAUCAAAUUAAAAUUGUGACUCACUCAAAUUUACCAGUUAUUUUAAACGCGGGAAAUGAUAAAACCGACAAAAACAAAGUUAAAAAUAUACUCCUUACUAUAAUGAGUUGUCAAAAUUGAAUGCAUGAAGGUAGAGAUUGAGGCCAAUUGAAUAAUAUAAUAUACCCACAACAAAUUUGGCACUGUAUAUUAUUCUCACACGUUGAAUAUUUACAGUACUAUAUAUAGUUCACAUAUUCUACUUUUACAACUUUUUUUCAUUUAUUUUUUUAAUCAACUAUCACUUGAUUCUAGUCAGCCCAAAUUACCUCGAAAAUCAUAAAUAUUUGAAUUUUAAAGUAGUAAGAAAUCCAGUUGAUUAAAUUAAAUUAAAUUAAAUUCUUGUAAAGAAUGAUGGUCAAACCAAGUAUAUAUCAAUUGAAAUAAGUUUGGGAAAACAUAAUGAAUUGUAUACUACAUGGUAUAGUAAUUGGCCAAAAAGUAAAGUAAAUAAAUAAAGUAAUCCGAUCAAAUUUAUUGGAGGAUAAUGAAAUAAGGCAUGAUGCGUAAUUGAAAAUUGAAAUAUACAAGAUUAUUCUUAAUUUGCAUGACAAUGUUUCUGCGAGGAAUAUAGUGUUGCAAAUUGAAUCACCAGGUCAACUGAAACAAACUUCAUAAGUGAAUGUACGUUUUUAUCAUUGAUGGAAAAGCAAUAUCAUAGAAGAUGUUCAAGCAAACGUGCAUAUAUCACCCACUCUGACUUCAAAAGACUUGGGAACAUUAUGAAUAAUGGAAAAUCUCAUCACAUACGACAAAGAUAUAAUUGUUAGAUAACUAUUUUACUGAAAUUAUCGCAAGUGACUAAAUCACUAUAAUAAGAGAUAUUUUCGUGUCAAUAAUUACCACAAAAUAUUUUAUAUAUAUAAUAUAUAAAGUCAAAAGAUAAUAUGGACACUUAAAAAAAAAAAAAUUAGAGAGAGCAUUUGAAAAAUCAACGAAGAAUAAAAUGAGGUUAUGAUCAAGAAUAAAUUAAUAUGACGAUAAUUCUGAUAUAUCUAAAAGAUUAGAACUAUCAACAUCUAAGUUUAAGAAUUCAAAUAAAGUUAUAAUUGAUUGUUCGAAUAUUAUAACUAUCUUUCCAGGACAAGGUCACGUGUAAUUGAUGUAUUUUCACUUCUUACGAUGAGUUACAUGAAAUUAGUUAAAUUGAACGCAUGUUAUAUAUAUAAUUAUUUUAUUUUAUUUUAAAAGGGAUAAAACUUGAAAGAAAAUAAAAGAACAAACGAAAUUACGUAAUUUUCAACUUUAAGCCAUGAUAGGUGUUUUUCAAUUUAUUAUAUAUACAAGUAUAAAAGAAGCAUAUGACUGGGAAUUACAGUUCAUUCAUGAUGCGAGCAAUACGUACAAAUACAAAACACAAAUUUAUUUAAGAAAACACACUUCUAAAAUACAUGAACAAAAAUAUAUAAGAUCUUUAACUUGAGCUUUUCCUUCUUUUAAAUUUUGAUUUAGGGAAUAACAACGAUCAACGUAUUUUUAUUUUACAACCUUUUUGUAGUAUUGCUAGCUUUUUCACUCAGUAAAUUAGUUUCUAGAUCUCUGUCAAGUUUAUAGAAUGAAUUUUGAGACCUCCUUUCCACUUUUUGUUCCAAACUUCAUACAAUCCAAAAUAAAUCUUAUCAACAUUGUUCCCCUUCCCUUUUGUUAUCAUAAUAGUUUUUGAUAUCAUCUUUUUGCCAUUAAUCUCAGUUGUCAAAUUCACCUUUGUCCAUUGAGUAUUAUCUCCCCAUUUAGCCAUAAGAUAAACGGGUGAAUCGCUCCAACCAAAUGCAUCAGUCAUCAGUGACACUGUAAAUCCAACGUCGUAUGACGUUUUCUUCGCUAUAUUAAUAUUGUCAAUGCAGCCAGUUACCUCCAACCAAUUUACUUGUAUAAGUUCUGCACCAUCUUUUCUGUAAUUCAAAUAUAUUUAUUGACAAUGUCAGCCAAUUUACAAUUGUAAGGUAGUAUAUAUAUAGUAAAUUUCUAUAACUUAGAUUUGGUACACCAAUUAAUUCUUACUCGUAUUUGGGUAACUUCCAAAAGCGUUGAUCAGUUCCCCAAACAAUAUUAAGAGCUUUCGGAUAAAUUAUAUAACCCUGCAAACAACAAAAUAAACGCUUUAAAAAAAAACAUAAACUCGAGCAUAACUAAGUAUAAUGGGAGAAACAAGAAUUGCUAUAUAUAGAUAUUGGAAGAAAUUAAUGCAUGAAAUUUGCUGCACCUUUUCUGUUUUAGAGAAAGUGUGAUUGCCUUGAUAGUGAAGAGAUUUUGAAGCCAUUUAAUAUUUGCUAUAUAAGUUAAAUUAUAAAGAAUGUGGAGAUUUGAGUGCCUUAUAAUAUUUUGGGGUACAAAAAUCAGAUAUAUAUAGAGAUAGAAAAAUUUUCAUGCAUGCAUGCAAUAACCUAAAGAAGGAAAUGGAAUCAAGUCAUGACACGUAAGACCUUACGCAUUAAAGCUAAAGAAUGUCCACAAACGGAUUUUCAAGAAGAUAGAAUAUAUGCACAUGCAUCAUGUCCCUAGGAUGAUUGGACAAGGAAAAAAAUAUACUCCAAAGUCGACAUCUUAACUAUAAUUAGUUGUCAAAAGUUGAAUGCAUGAAGAUAGAGAUUGAUGCCAAAUUGAUAAAUCUCGAAUAAAUACUCUCAUGAUGCGGUAAGAAUAUUAGAGUACUAUAUUAUAUCGUUUUCAUUGCUAAAAUAUUACUCCCUCCGUCCCAUUUUAUAUGUCACCUUUUUACUUUGUACUUGCAUUAAGAAAUGAUGUAACUUUACCCUUCUACCCUUAUUUAAUGUUUUCUUAAGUCAACUUUAUAAUAAAUGAUGAGUACAUUUUUAACAUUAAUUAACUACUCUAUCAAGGGUAUAAUAGGUAAGAUAUGGUAAUUUAUGAUAAUUUUUAUAAAAUAACAAGUAUUGUGGUCUAGUUAUUUAUAGAAAGAGAUACAUAUAAAAUGAGACGGAGGGAGUAGUAAUUAAUUGGUUCAUAUAUUUCACUUUUAAAACUUCUUUUCAUUCCCCUUUUUAUCAACUGUCACAAAGUUUUAAAGGAAGGGCCUAAGUUUGACCAAAAAGGGUCAAAAUUCCUCCUAUUAAAUUAGUUGCAUUAAAGUAAUGUUUAAAUAACGCAAAAAAUGAAUGUGGAUUUCCUUUUAUAUUCCAAAGCAAAGCAAGUAUAUAUGAUUGUUCAAUGAAUACAAGAACAGUGGAGUAGUCUAGCUAGUUUUGUCUCAAUUUCAUUAUGUCAAUGCAAUAUUUAAAAAUAUAAAAUAUUUGAAUUUUAAAGUCGCAAGAAUUUUAAUUAAUUCAUAUUAUAUAUUUUUGUAAAUAUUAAUGGUCAAAUUAAGUCUCAAUUUUUGUAUAUAUAAUAUUACUUGACCAAUAAGUAAAUUAAGUCGAUAAACAAAUAGUUUUGACUAAAUUCACUAGAUGACAAUGAAAUGGAUUUUAGGGUAUUUAAAACAUCUAAGACGAUUAUGGUUUGCAUAACAAUGAGUAUUUCGUAGUUAUUAAGGGGUGUAGUGAUGCAAAUUGAACCACUAAAUCAAGUGUCUAGUGUGUAAUUUGUUCUGCCAUAUAUAUUUGAAUUCACUAAAAUUCUGAAAUUAACGAGGGGUAAAUUACUUAGAGGACACACAAGAAAAUUAUAAUCCUUUAAUUAUAUAUUUUUUUCUUCAAUUUUUUCUUAAAUAUUUUAAAUUAUUGAUUACGUCAAUUGACAAUAUUUUUGGUAUAAUUUUCAUAAUUAACAAUAUUGUAUUCAUAAUUAAUAUCAUUGUAUUCAAAGUUGCUAAAGUCUUUAACAACAUUAAGUAUUGGUUAUAAAUACACAUAUUAUAUUAUUGCUACUAAUAAUAUAAAGAAAAUUAUACUAUUAGCGUAAAAUUAUUUAUUUGUUGCGAUGAGUAUUUUAAACUUUUUCCAGUGAAACUAGUUAAAUAGAAUAUAUGUAAUAUAGUUAUUAGGAGGGGGGAAAAGAGGAAAAACUUGAAACAAAUAAAAGAACAAACGUAAAUCAACUUAAUUAAAGUUAUAAUUGAGUUCAACAUACGAGUUUCAUUCAUGAUUGGACAAUAAUUGACUAAUUAUUUUUGUCUUACAAUUUUCUUGUAGUACAGCUAAAUCAAUAUCUAGCUAAAUCUCUGUCAAGUUUACAGAAUGAAUUUUGAGACCUCCUUUCCACUUUUUGUUCCAAACUUCAUACAACCCAAAAUAAAUCUUAUCGAUAUUGUUUCCCUUUUCCUUUUGUUAUCGUAAUAGUUUCUACAACUUAGAUUUUGUACACCAAUUAAUUCGUACUCGUAUUUGGGUAACUUCCAAAAGCGUCUAUCGUUUUCCCAAACAAUAUUAAGAGCUUUUGGAUAAACUAUAUAACCCUGCAAGCAAUGAAAAUAACACUAUCAAAUUUUUUAAAAAGAGAAACAUAAAGUCGAACAUAAGUAUAAUGCCAGAAGGAAAGUAAUACGUAAAAGGCCAAAAGGAAUAAUGUCACAUGAUAGAUGACCUAAGGCCAUAGCUAAGACCUAAGUUAUCGUUAAACAAAAAUGCAUGUCUGAAACUUUAAUCAUGUUGCGUAUCUGGUAAAUAGCACUGUCCAAAUAAGAUAUUUCGUGAAAAUUUUAUAUUUUUUUAAGGAAAUAUUUUAGUUGUUCAUUAUUGGAUUACUCAAUGCAAAUAUGAACUAAUUAGAGUCUAUGGGCGGAGCUAGUAGCCAGUUGGAUACGAGUUCAACCGAAAUCAAUAGCUUUUACUCUAAAUUUCAAAUAAUAUGUACUAAAAAAAACUCAUUAAUCAAAUAGCUUUUACUCAUUAAUAUACUAUAAUUAAUCAAAAAUUGAAUGCGUAAAACUAGAAUCGUCCUUUGUUUUUGUAAUUGAUUCUAGUUACCUCGAGUUAGGGGUGUCAUGGCCGGAUUGGUUCGGGUUUUUCAAAUAUCAAAUCAAAUCAUUUGUGUCGAAUUUUUAAAUUUAUAAACCAAACCAAACCAAUAAAACUCGGGUUUUUCAACCUCGGAUUUUUUUGGGGGUUUUCGGUUUUUCGGUUUUUGGGGUUUUUUCGAUAAAGUAUUCAUACAAACAUAUAAUUUACUUGUACUUCAAAUAUUUCUUUACUCCUACCAAAAUACAACUAUCUAAGGCGUUUCUUAAAAAGAAACACAAAAUAUGAUAUGAUUAAUGACACUAAAAUAUCCAACAAAAAUAAUAAUAAUGAAAUCACGUAAAACAAAUAUUGCAAAUUAACAAGUCAUAAGUAAAAUGAUCAUAAUUUAAAAGUACUAAAUCAUGCUAAAACAAGUUCAAUAAGUAUUAGUUACAUGACUAAAUAUUAAAGGAAAUUAAAAUUAGAUUAUGUAUUUUAAUUGUCUAAACCAAUGACAAAACUAAAGAACAAAUAUUCAAUAUUAUUGUCAUUUUUAGUGUUUAAUUGAUUUCCUUUUUGCAUUAGUAUUAAUUUAAUUUUGAUUUAAGCUUUAUUAUAAUUACCAACAUAUGUGGACUAUAAUCUUUAUUGGNNNNNNNNNNNNNNNNNNNNNNNNNNNNNNNNNNNNNNNNNNNNNNNNNNNNNNNNNNNNNNNNNNNNNNNNNNNNNNNNNNNNNNNNNNNNNNNNNNNNNNNNNNNNNNNNNNNNNNNNNNNNNNNNNNNNNNNNNNNNNNNNNNNNNNNNNNNNNNNNNNNNNNNNNNNNNNNNNNNNNNUUAUAUAUAUAAUGUCGGGUUGGUUUGGUCUCGGGUUGUUUUUUUUUAGUUAAAACCAAACCAACCCAAAUAUAGUCGGGGGGUUUUUUCCAAUACCAAACCAAGUCAAACCAAACCACUAGUCGGGUUUUUUUUUCGGUUUGACUCGAUUUGCGGUGUGAUUCGAUUUUCAGUUCGAUUUUGUACACCCCUACCUCGAGUUAAUUAAUAUGUAGUCCAAAUUUGACUUUUCUACUUAAUCCUAUACGUAAUGGUUUUUUUUAAAAUUCACUUUUUUGCUUUAACUAUGUUUACUUAUUUAUAAAUAAUCCGACUUGGUCACAGGAGGCAAAUAAUCAAUUUUAUAACUAAGCCGACAGAGAGCAUAAUAUAGCGAAGGGCCUAAGUUAAAUAUGACCAAAUUAAAGGGCCAAAAUUCCUCUUAUUAAAUUAGUUGCAUUAAAGGUAAUGUUUUUUUAAUAAUGAAAAAAAAAAGAAUAUGGAGUUGCUUUACAAUAUUAGAUAUUGUUCAAUGAACACAAGAACAAUAUUUAGAUUAGUGGUUUAAAGAUGAUAAUUCUAGAGAACACACUGAUGAUUAAUAAAAACGUGUUCAUGAAAGCAAAAGUUGAUGCACUUUGUUAUUUGACAUAGAACACCAAAUGCUUCAUGAUGCCUUCAUAUUUACUGUUAGUUCUUAUAAUAUUAUUCAUAUCAUUGCUACUUCAAUUUAUUAAUCAUCUGUGUUUUUUGUGCUUGGAUUAUAUAUUUAUUGUUUUCUUUUCUGAAUGUUAUGUAAUGUUUUUCUUAUCAAUCAACAUAUCUACUUUAUUUCCUUUUAAAAAAAAAAACUACUUUAAAAUAUUUUAUUUGAGCCAAGAGAGUCUAUCAAACAUAAAUUAAGAUUUAAAAUCAAAUAAAUUAUGUAAAGAACUAAAAUAAAAAUGAUAAAUUUGGACGCUAGAAGGAGGGCUUGAACCUCCGACCUUGUGGUUAACAGCCACACGCUCUAACCAACUGAUCUAUUCCAGCUUGUUUGAUAGGGAGUUGUUUUGCUCAUUAGAAUAACCAAUAUCUGUCCCAAUUUAUGUUGACUAUGCACACAGUUUUAAGAAUAAUAGGAAAUCUAUUCGAACUCGAGGUCUCAGGUCUCAGGUCUCAGGUCUCAGAUAAGUCAUUUAUAUUUGUAUAAUUAUAAAUAAAUGAUAAAUGAGGGAGUAUAGCAUUUCCAUUUGACAUAACCAAGCAAAUCUAUUAAUCUAUUAAUGAGUACUAUUACAAACUGCAAUAUCUGUAAACAUAGUUCCUAUAGUAUCUGCCCAAAUUGCAUAUGCUGGCUGCUGCAAUCACUGAAAAAAAUACCAAAAAUCUUGGCCUAUUAAAAACUUAACGAUGUACCCUUUAGCCAGCUGAUUCGUCACUCUAUUUUGCUCCCUAAAUAUGAGUAAAUGCUGGAAACCCAUAUUUUUCUUAUAUACACAUAGGGUGUGCUUAGGAAACCAUAUUCUAAUAUCGUUAUAUUUGGUUGGUCAAAAUAUUAAAAAUAAGAAUAAUUACUUCCCUAGUGACAUUCACAUUCACAUUGGUAGUCUGCUCCCUACACUCUUAACACAUGACCCCAUCCCUUAUAUCCUACAUCCUCACCACACCAUCCUUCAUAGUAUUUGAAUAUACUGGUGUACAAAUAUUUUUUGUCUACUUACCAAACACUUAAAACUAAGUAAGAAAACCAGGUACUACUUGUUAUGUCACAUAAAAUGGGUAUAAAUCUAUGACUAUACCUCGAGAAUGUACAAUCUUGCAGAAACGAAGGGAAUUUUUUGAGAUAUACGAAAUACAUGUGUUAAUAUGUUAGCGCUUGUACAUGUUAGACACAUGAUAAAUGGAGUCCUGAUACUAUAGAUAGAUAAUGAAGAACGCUUUCCAUAAACUGGCAAAGAGCAUAAACGAGCUCGAAAUGUACUGCUCAUUGUGGAGGUUAUCUCCUCAUAUUGCCAAUUUAUACCUCUAGUUCUUGAUCGAUUGAUGCAGCUUCCAGGUCUUCAAGACUGACUGGUUGGUGCAGCUGCAUUGAUGAAACACAAGUUUAAUAUAGGCUCAACAGAAGACUACAUCGCUAGGUACUCAAAGCAGCAUAAAUAAGCAUGUAACAAUGAUAAAAAGUCCAUAUAAAUGCAUCCAGACCAUUUUAAUUGCAGCUCCUACAUCGACUUCCUCUAUAUCCUCAUUUUCCAACAUUAGCGUUCAUAAGCAUUUAUCAGAGGAAAGACAACUAAAGAGAACCAAAAUUAGCCAAACAUUUGGUCGCAGAUUUGAGACUACUGGUGCUUAUUUGAUACUGUAACAACUCAAGUUACCAACACAACAAUGAUAUGUAUUAUAAUCGCUAAAGAACACAAAAUACAAUUGAGAAAUGGAAACAACAAGCUAAUAACAACUAACGUCCUUAAAUCGAAACUGAGAAGGUUAACCGAAGGGGAAGAUGAUCAGAAAAUAUAGAGAUAGAUAGAAGGGGAUGAGAAGCUCGACUAAGAAUGGAGAUGAGAGAAUCAGACUCUUUACUCAACAAUUUGUAUAAUCCUUGAAUCACAUCCCACUACCCUUUUUGAUGGAACCGCUCCCAUGCCCAUUUCUCAACCCGAAUCCAAAAUUAACCUGACCCUAUUGCUUGUUCUAGGCCCAAUAGCUCUUAUCAGCCCAAUAACUACUUUUGCGACCCUGGUAUCCACAUUGGCCUGGACUUGGUUCAUACAAGAUACUCCUCCCAACAAAACCAAGUAAGGUAGAUUAAAAAAGUAGUCAAACUUUGGAGAGGUAAAAUAGCUGACUCGAUGAUGCAUGUUUGGACAUGAAAGCCACAAUCUGAAAAACAUUUUAGGCAGCCAGGGUGUCAUGUCAAAGCAGGUACCAUAGUCAGUAGAAACUGUUGUUUGUCUAAGGAGCAGCUUUCAUAUGAACACUUGCUUUAGCAACUUAACAGAAAAUCAAACAGAUAAAUAGCAGGAAAGGCAUCUCCAGAUAACUAGGAUCAAGAAGAAACAUACUGCUGUUGCAACAGAAAAUAGGUGGAAGGCACGCAAGGAAGCAUCAUUUUCUGAGGGAAGAGAAUCAUGGUUCCACAAUGUUAUGUUUUGGAACUUUGCCUUCAUCUCCCAGCAACUUGAAUCUUCCUCGGACCUUUUUCUUUUCUCAACAGGCAUUUUCUUUCCCAAGACAAACCCUGAAGAAGCAAGAAAAUGGUUUCAAAUAACACAAAGUUAAGUAGAUUAAGAAGUCCCAAUAUAAAUUUGAACUACAAUAAUCGUAAGACUUUAGGUGGCAGAUAAGUGAUGUAAGUAAAUUUACAAAAAACAGAAAAAGACAAUACAACUGGAAACAGCAAUUCAUGCGAUGAUACAUAAUUAGAAUUACGUAUCUCAGAAUUGAGCUAUCAAAAUCGGGAUGGAGAGACUAGCACUUCCAGUCCAAUGCAAAAGCUGUAAGACAAUAGACUAUCAUUCCAAAAACAUUUAUCUUUAUUCGUUUGGACAUUUUCCUUCCAGACAAUUGUUCCAAGAUUGACACAAGUGUCUAAUGAAACCAAAAGCUUAACCAAAAUUUCUGUUAAAUCAUCAAAAGUUGGUAGCCAAACUACAAUCCAUGUAAACUAGCUAGGAUAAACUCUUGAAAGAUGAACAAGCAAACAGUUCAUCAGUCUAGUUGUUCCCCUUCGCCUUGCCCCUCCCUCAACCCCACACGCCAAAAGAAAAAUUAGAAAAUCACGUGAUUAUAAUCCUAGUUGCAGGUGUGAGAAUUCAAUCACAUGUCAUUUAUACAGGAUUUCACUGUAAUUACAUGGUAUUAGGCUCUGCCACCUCAACAACUAGCUUUUGGCAUGUGAUUCUCAUAAAGUUCAUAACAAUCGGUGUUUGAGCCAUCCAGUUAUGAAGCCUCCAAAAUCAAUCAUGCUGGAUGGGAAAUAAUAUCAACAUAACAGUGUUUCCUCAGUCCUACAGCAUAUAAAGCACAGUUGUAUGUGCAGCCACUCACCAAGAGCACAAUGUAGUCAUUGAUGGUUAUUAUCCAAGCAGCAAGUAUUGAGACUUUGAUCCAUCACUUGGGAUCCGAGUAUUUAGCUUUGAAUUAUGGUCCCCUUUGCUUAAUUUCUGACCAUACUGUUUGCACAAUAUUAUUUUACUCCCUCCAUUUCAAUUUAUUUAUCCUACUUUCCUUUUGUGCUGUACUAGGUUACCUAUUACCCUUACCAAUAUCCCCUUUCUAUUCAUUAUGUAUAUAUAAAUAGAGAUGGACCAGCGGCUUAUUGAGCCUUUUAUCACUUCGUACCACUUGUUUCCUCUUCUUCAGAUGUCUCGCUUCCUUCUUCUACAACAGAUAUUAUACCUACUCAAUCAAAAUUUGUUGUUUUGUCAGGAUCGUCUACUUCAUCCUUUUCAAUUCCUCCUUUGCCUUCUUUUUCUCAUUCUCUUCCUCUCCACACUGUUGGGCCAAGCAUUCUGCUAGGUUCUUCUAUAGGCCAGAUUGGCCUACCUUCGCUCCCACCUUGCAGUGGAACAAUAGAACCAACAGUUCCAUCUCCCUUCCACUCUGCCGCGGCUUUCACCAUACCUAGUAUCACUAAUUUGGUGACUAUCAAACUUAAUUCUGUUGAAGAUUAUCUCACUUGACGUAGUCAAGAAACUUAUUUACAUUCUCAAAUUUCGUGUCAAGUCAAAACCAAACAAACAAAUUAAAACAGAGGAAGUAAUAGACAAGCCCAUCCAACACCAUUAUUAAAGGAAAAUAAAUUAGUUUACCAGAAUAGCCAUGAGGAAUUACAACAGUAGUACCCUGAAGCUUCCUUCCUCUAAAAUGAGCUUCCUCCACACUUAACCCAUCAACAAUUACACCUUCAUUUCAUUCACAAAUUCAAACAGUGAUUAAAUAAAUAAAAGCAAAGUUCUUUCAAAAACUACGUUUUUAAUACCCAAAACCAAAAAUUCAAGUAGAGUAUGAACUUGACUUGCAUAAAUAGAAUAAUUAUACCGGUGGAUUUGGGUUUGAAGUACUGUGAAACAUCAGAUGGACCAUUGAACUUGAUACAGCACGGCAGCUGGUGCACUUUUCCGGUGAGUUCCACCACUUUCUCCGGCGAAAGAUUGCCGGUUAGAUCAAUUGUGCCUGAAAUUCCGUUGUUGCUUCUCGCCAUUGCUCGGUUGAACUGGUAACAAGUAUCAAAAGAACCCUAAAGGGUGUACCAAAGCUUAAGCCUUUAUUCAGAGUUGUUCCUGUGUUCAUAAUAUGGCAAAUUUGGAAAAGAAGGAACAAAAUUACACAUGGAGGGAAAAUGUCUAAAUUCUCUAUGAUUGCUGAAAUUAACAGGAAUCUACAUCUGUUGGCAGCAUACAGUUAUCCCUGGCUAGAUAAAAUUCCUGUGUUUUGGCCGUUAAUUGUAAAAGCAUUUGAUAAUUACAUUCCUCUAAUCUCUAGCAAAAUUGUUAAUUGGAAGCUCCCCGAGGAAGGUAAAUUUAAAUGCAACAGUGAUAGUGCUUACAAGGAUACUAUGGACUUCAUUGUCUCUGCAUUUUGUAUUAUUUCAUGUAUGCAUAAGUGAACAAGGUAUUGGUAGGAUCUGCACUUGAGGCAGAAGUGAAAGCUUUGGGUAGAAUAUUGCAUGACCAAUAAUUUGCUUGCAGAUUCACUUAUUGGUAAGAAGAUCAUAGAUGGGAUUUGGGAAAUUCCUUGGGCUAUUGUAGUUGAUAUAAGGAGAAUCCAAGGGAUGGUGAGAGAGCAUACAGUGGAGGUGUUACACAGAGAAGGGAAUAUGUUAGCUGAUUUUUUGACUGAACCAUAUCUUCAUUGCAGGUAUUAACAACAAACAAUUUCAUACUGUUACCACAGAGGGCCAAGGCGAUUAUCCAAACAUGAGAGUUACAAGGUGUCAAAAUAGAUUUCAAAGUCAUGACACAAUACACUAUACAAGCUUCACUGAAAACACAGGUAGCGCAAACGAAGUCUAUGAAGAACAAAGCAUUUCUGCUGAAGCAAUUCUCUUGAAAUGUAGGCUUACCUGAUGCUCUAGAUCCUUAUGCAGUGCUUUUCUGAGCUCGAGGAUAAAGAAACAAAGGGUGAGGAGGGGACUUUUCAAGCUUUAAAUGCUUCCAUUCAGCGACUUUUGAGUUGAAGAAGUGAGUCGCUCAAAUUCAAAAAUCUGUGUUUGUGUUGAAGAUAGAGAUCGGAAGUGAGGUUGCUGCUAGGGUGAUGGUCUGAUGGAUGAACACCGAUUCGUCACUUCCCUUUUUUUUUUUCUGGAUUUCUUUUGUCUACAUGGGCUUCGGUGGGGCACUUUUGGACCCAACCACUCUAUAAUUAUUCGAUUAAGCAAAUUUAUAGUACUUAAUUACUCAUCAUGGGCUCAUGGCUAUAGUUUGAUAUAAUUAUCAUUCGCGACUAACAUUAAUCAUUAAUUACUUGAAUAAGUCCCUUUUAAUUAAUGUUUACUAUUUUUAAACAUAUUUUUUAAUUAUUACCAUUUAUAGCAAUAUAUAAUAAUAUUAUGUAUACUUAUUUUAUUAGAUCUAUUAUUUUCUCUUGCGCUAUUUCUCCGUUUGUUUUUUCUAUCUCUCGCUAUUUUUUUCUUUUUCUCCCUGGCCCUGCAGCCUCUCUGCACCCCCCCUCUCUCUAUGUUUUUUUUCUUUCUUUUUCUCCCUGUACCUCCUCUAUCUAUGAUUUUUCAAUAUUAUAAAAAAAAAGUUAGGCUUUUAUCAAAGGCAAAAGAACUAUAGAAAAGUUAGGGAAAUUUUCAAAAAUCGAAGAAUUGGGGCUGCUUAGUUUAUAGAAGAAGUCGAUUAGUUUUUUAUUUGUUGCUUUGGCAUUGUUGACGAUUUUCAUUCUAAUAAAGGUUAUAUAAAUAAUUGUAUUCAUACCUGAUGAAAACUUGAAGAUUUGAAUAUUUGUAUAUAUGAAGAUAUGAAGAUAUGAAUGUUUGAAGAUAUGAAAGUUUGAAUAAAUGAAGAUAUGAUGUCAUAUUUGUGCCCCAUACUUCCUCAUAUCUAAAGGCGAAUUCACAUGAGAAAGUUAGAUUUAAAGAUAUGAUGUCAUCUUUGUAACAAAUAAAGAGACAUAAUAAACUGCAAAAUGAAUUAAACUUGAAUCAAAUAUGUAUUACACACAUAUUAAAGUUGAAUUAAAAGAGAAUUAAACAUGAAUACAAAAUGUAGCAAACGAAAGAACAUUUUAUGAUCAGUAAACUGAAUAAAAUUUGUAUCAAUAAUGAUUUAAACAAGUAAUCCAAUCAUAACAAAUCAACCAAUAAACUGCAAAAUGAAUUAAACUUGUAUUAGAAGUGUAUUACACAAAUAUUAAAGUUGAAUUAGAAAAGAAAAUUAAACAUGAAUAAAAAACGCAACUAAUAAAAGACCAGACAUUGAUCUAUAGAGUAAAUUAAACUUGUAUCAAUAAUGAAUUAAACAAGUAAUUCAAUAGUAACAAAUCAAUCAAUAAACUGCAAAAUGAAUUAAAUUUGCAUUAAAAGUGUAUUACACAAUAUUAAAGUUGAAUUAGAAGAGAGAAUUAAGAAUUAAUGAAAAAUGUUACUAACGAAAGACAAGAGAAUGAUCUAUAGACUGAAUUCAACUUGUAUUAUUUAUGAAUAAAAUGUAUUAUAUGUGUCUUAUAAAUUAUUUUGAUUGUAUCACUAAGAACAUGAAUGAUGUUUGCAAUAUGUAUUAUAAAUGUAAUAUAAGUAUGUUACCUAAAUCAUUUGGUUGGUAUCAAUAAGAAGAGAGUGAAGUUUGCAAAUUAUAAAUGUAUUGUUCACGAUAAAACUUAUAUUAUAUGUGUCUUGUAAAUUAUUUUGAUUUGUAUCACUAAGAAAAUGAGUAACGGUUGCAAUAUGUACUAAAAAUGUAUUGUGCAUGUCUUAAAAAUGUAUUAUUAAUGUGCUACCUAAAUUAUUAUUGUUGGUAUCACUAAGAAAGAAGUGAAGUGUGCAAUAUGUAUUAAAAAUGUAUAAUUCAUGAAUAAAACAUGUAUUACAUGUGUCUUAUAAAUUAUUUUGAUUGACUAAGAAAAAGAGCAUUGUUUGCAAUAUGUAUUACAAAUGUAUUGUGUCUAUGUUAUANNNNNNNNNNNNNNNNNNNNNNNNNNNNNNNNNNNNNNNNNNNNNNNNNNNNNNNNNNNNNNNNNNNNNNNNNNNNNNNNNNNNNNNNNNNNNNNNNNNNNNNNNNNNNNNNNNNNNNNNNNNNNNNNNNNNNNNNNNNNNNNNNNNNNNNNNNNNNNNNNNNNNNNNNNNNNNNNNUUAUGAAACAUAUAUAAUACAACUUUAAUACAAUUGAGAUACAGUUCCGUAAACUUCAUAUUUUUCGAGCUUCAAUCUAAUAUUUCUCCUAAAAUCAAUUCUAAACUUAACCAAACCCUGUUAAAAUUGAGAAAUAAACUCCAAACGAUAUUUUCAAUUAUUUGUAGGAACAACCUAUCUAAACUAAUCACAAAUUCAUAAAACUUAAAUAAUGAAUUCAAAAUUUGAAGUUUUAUAAUGACCAUCAAUGGUGAACUCUUGAUGCUGUGAUUUUAGAGAUUUGAAAUUCCUGCUUGAGCACAUGAUUCUUAUCGUAUUUUUGGGUGAAAUUGCGAUAUAUGGGCAAAAACUGAUUUGAAGAUAUUUCUUUAAAUGAAAAUUUCAAAGAAAAAGAAGAAGAGAAGGAAGAGAAAAAAUGGCAGAGAAAGAGGGAAAGAAGCGAGAUAGAAAGGCUUUCACUGUACCAUUUUUUAGUUCCAAAUAAUUGCUAUAUCAAGUUAAAAAUAUUAUAUUGCCAUAGAUGGUAAAUAUUUUCUUAUUAUUGCAUAUUUAUGUGAUUUACCCAUAAUUAUAUGGGCUGACUUCGAGUUUGUAUAAUUAGUCACGUUUGUAUAUGUAUAAUUCGCAACUAACAAUUCUUUGUAUGAUUUGUAUUUGCAUACGAUGGUUUGUAUUUGUAUAUGACAAUGAUUUCCUUUGGUUUUUCAGUUUUGUCAUCAUAUACAUUCAAUCUUUUUGUGUAUAACUUUUUAAAGUUUGUAUAAACGUGUAGCUUUCGAAUUUUUAUAUAAUAUAAUUUAUAUAAUGUAAUUUGUAUAAUAUAUUAUGUAUAACUGUUUAAAGUUCAUAUGUUAUGUUUGCUAUAACUUAUUUUAGAAUAUAAAUGUCAAAUCUCUUUUUCUUUCUUAAACCUUAUGCCAUAGCAAACUAAGUCAUAUAUUUAGAUGGAAGAAAUAUUGUUUAUAGCCCACUUCAAUUAGAAACAGAAAAGCUUGAAAAAAUUGGAAUGUUAGGGUGUGUUUUGUACAAUAGAAAAUGUUAUAUUACACAUAAGUGAUUUUCUUAGUUGUUUUUUUUUUUUUCGUUUGGUAAGCAGAAAUAUUAUCCCAAGAGCGGUGGUGAAGCUAUGCUAUAUAUACUAGACAUUGAAUCUCUGUAACAUUUUUUGUGCUUUAUUUUUUUCUAUUUUGAGUUUCGUUUGUGAAAAUCUCACCUCUUGUCCAAAAGUAUCUUAUAUAUAAUCUAAACAAAUAUGAAAAAGUAAUAGAGUGUUGUAAAAGGAACUAGCUAAUUCUUCAUAACAGAAUCUUGCAGCAAAUAACCCUUUAAUGCCUACUACUCCAUAAUUAAUUGAUAACAUUUGCUACUAUUUGGAUACAACAGAACCUAACACAUGUACUUGCAACAGAUACAACUUCUAAAUGCAAUAAUUCACUUGAAGUAACUAGACAGUAUUGUUUAACUCUCAGGAUCAGAUAAAUACACAGGGCUAUCCAAAUCACCCAUUUCUGCUGAGGCAAAUGACUCAGAACUAUCUGCACUUGACAGGGAAGAAGGCGAUCCAUCAGAGUCCGACAUCCCCUCAUCAUGCAUAAUGAUGUGUUCAUCAUCAAUCUCAGAUGUAUCUGAUCCAGAACCACCUAGCAGAAGCUUGUUUAUGGCUCCUUUUGCGGUUUCAGUGAACCAUUCGUCCUCGGGUAGGGCACUGAAAAGAAAGACAUUUUCAUUAAUGAGGCUCACACAUAAAGAAGAUGAGAAGUAGUGAGCUAGGUGAAUGAGGUAUUUAUACCUUUGUGGAUCUAUGCCCCUGGCAGAAAAAGUCCUGACUGCACGUGCAAUUAUGUCUGAUGAUAUUUGAUGCACGUGCCUUGAUGGAUAGCCCGCAAAUCGUGCAAUUUCAACAGUGAAGUGCAUGUCAAGAAUUAACUGUCAAACAAAAAGUUGAUAUCAAGAUACAAAGAGGGUUUUAUCAUAACUCAAAUAUAGAACAUCAAAAUAUUUGCUUAACAAGAGAGCAAUUCACGUUGAAUAUCGCAAAUGAAUGUUAGUAUGACUUAGUCCGGUCAAAGACUAAGGUAUCUUUUUGGAAUUUCACCAAGUUAACGGCUAAUGAGAGAAUACCUUAAGCUCUUAAACUCUAAAACCAAUUAACAUAUUAUGCCGAUUGGGCUGAGGAAGUAAUAAGGGCAUGGACAAGAUACCUUCAUUUUCUUUCUUUUGACAAGGAACAAGAUACCCUUAUUUUCAAACACCCAGAUACUCGGAGAGUUACUUUUAGAAAGAGGUAGCACACAAAUGGCCGUCCUAUGCCCAACGAUGUAUCCUUUUAAAUUGUCCAUCCAGGAAUUUCUAACAGUUUUGAACUUUAAUCUGCAAUAGAGCCAUACAAUAUAUUCUGUUGCAGAGUUCAAAUUAAACAAAGCUAUAACAGCUCCUACACACUAUCCCAAAUUGAAUGAAAAUCCGGGUAGCAUGCCAACAGGUGAUAAGGUGAAAAAGUAGAAUGAAAUUGUGAUAAUACUCUAUUAUCUUCAGGUAGUACAACUAAAGACAGGGAAGUAGAUAUAACAAAAUACCUGCUGCAAACCCAGCGGCUGCAGAGGAGCUGACUCAUCCUCUAGAACACUCCAAAAUUCUUGUUCAUCAGACAACCACAUUACCACAGUCUCUGUCAGUCUGGCAAGCAAAACCUUCUGUAUCUUCUCUCUUCCUAAAAGAACAUCUCCUGCCACAGUUGCUAAUUGCUGCAGCUUACCAAAUAAUGCCUACAGGUUUGAAGAUUUAUCACCUUUUAGUUACAUGAAAGUGUUGGAAACAUAAGCAUUUUAUAAGGUUCUAUUUAGCAGAAACUGUUGAAAGCAUUUCGCAAGAAAAUACCGAAUAUUAGCACUUGGAUAGUCAGAUAAGAAUUGACAAACAGUUGUAAACCACCAUCAGAGAGACAAUGUAAAACUAUGCUUCCGCUGCUUGAACUUUAAAAAAAGUCAAACGAGCAUCUGCUGAAUAUUAUGAUGAAUGAUUGUCUAAUUUAUUUAUUUAAAAAAAAAAGAAUACUUAAGGAGGCAUUUGGCCAUGAAAUUCUUUUCACUUUUUCCAGAGUUCAACUCUGGAAAACACGUUUGGCCAUAAAACUCAGGAAGAAGUUGAAAAAGAACAAAAAGGUUUUCUCACUGCAAAUUACUCACAGAAAGUCAAAAACAACUCCACUUUGUAUUCACGGCCAAACACAACUGCCAAUUUUCAAAUAUCAUUUUUCACUUUAAAACAAAACUACUUUUUUCAAAUUUCACAAUGAAACAUGGUCAAACACCCACUUAGAAUCUCCUUAAAGUUGCUACUAUAAAGCAGUGAUUGAUGACCAAGCAGAAAAACUGGAAUUGAAGGUUUUGGAGGGCGAGUUAUAUACUAACAGCAAAGCAACACCAAUGAUGAACCAGAAACUCAACAGACACAGCAUUAACCUACUUGGAUAAAGGGAUAUUACACAUUCAGUCGCCCAAUUCACAAAAAGGAAAACUUAAUUAAUCUUAGACCGUUUUUUGUGAAGGGGGAAAUGAAGAGAACAAACUAAGACGGGCAAAAGAAUUAACUAGGGUGUGCUAUUCAUAGCACCAAUCAUUUCGGAAACUAGGACACAAAAGGAUUACAGUACCUGAAAUGGCAAUGAAGGUAGCGGAUCAGUGUCCCAAAUUGUAUCUUGUCCAACACCACUCAAAUAAAUCUGAGCAUCUAAUCGUGCAUCACCAUCUCUUGAGUAUAUGAAAUUAACAACAUAUUGUCGACAGAAAUUAUCUCUAAGUUUGUCUAGUGAAUGCUGAAGUUGACGCCUCCAGUCCUUGAGUUCUACAGUAUUGUUUGCGGCAGGCAUCAUAUUUUCAGACCCCACUUCCUUGCUUUCAUUAAGAACAUUCCAAAUUCUAGAUACAACCAUAGGCAAUAGUUCCUCAGCAAUGGUAAAUGCAGUUCCCAAUAGUGCAAGCUGCUGAGAGUCUGUUUCAGCUCUAAAAGGAACAGGUUCUUUCAGCUCAGUGAGAUUAUCAUCCUCAGAAAGACCAGGUAGAGCUUUAAUCAAUGAAUCCACAUACUUGUCAAAAAGAUGUGAAAUUCUGGUCAAUAUGUUAGCUCCAAAAUGUAGAAUGACUAACUGGGUGAGCUUCUCCACCAUUUCCUGCAGAGGAGGUCAAAGUUGGAUCAAAUUAUUAUUAAGCCAUCAUUACAAGAAACAGACAUCUGAUGCAGUGCUAUUGUUCUUGUCUCUUUUUUUUCCACAUGUUGCAGUUCAAAGCAAUCUCAAACAUCUAUCGGUGCUCCUACUUGAGCAAUGACAACUACUUGAGACAUCUAUUUAAGUGGCACCCCAUUGAAGGUUGUCCUAAAAUUGCAGCUAGCAGAAUCCAGCAGAAAAAGAACAAAAUCACGUGCAUUUAUGCAAUAUACACACGCAGACACAGAUAUUCAUAUACUGCACUAUUGAAAAUGGUAGUUAAGCCACCAUGCUGAAUAUGCAGCAAUAAGUGUGUUACAUACAAGACAGCUUCUUUUUCCCCUUCUUCAUUGGCAAAGCAGAAACGGUCCUUUGACGGAGUGGCCCUUUCAUGUUUUUAUACUAUUUUCUGCUCAAGAAAUAUUUCUUUUCUUGGACCAAGGAGGCACACUUUAACCCCCAAGGUUCUUUCUAUUUUUGCUAAUGAAUCCAGUAGUUGAAUAUACAAGAGUGUGUUCGUGUGUGUGGAUGGAGAGCAAGAGAGAAGAGAAUAAAGUAUCUAGAUUUAAUCUUCCAGUCUCUCAGCAGAUUCAGUUGUGCUAGAAAGGCCAAUCAUAGAAGUCUAUCAAAAACAAUAUUAUAGGUUACAAAUUGGUUAGAGUUCUUGCUGAAUUACCAAUUUUCAAAAAAAAAUAAAAAAUGGUUAGAGUUCUUGCAAGAAUACUUGCACACCUAUACGCCAAGUUAUGUAAAAGAACUUGCAUAGCAACUAUAACAAGGUGAGGGAGGUCUUUAUCGAGGGGAAUUAAUUUUAAAAAAAAGAAGGGAGAUUUAAAUCUGCACUGUGCACUUCAUAAAUCUAAGUCCUUUGAGGGAUACAGUAAUAACACUUGAGCAAUCAGAUGACCAAACAUUAAUAAAUAAGGAUUAAACCUUACUUUGACUAUAUAUAUGAAUCUCAUUCCACUUUCAACAAGCAGAGUAUCAGAUGUAGUUGCAAAUGUAGAUAAAGGAGACGCAAACCGAGGUGACAAUGGUUUCCCUUCAUCACUUGAAGCAAAAUCAAGAACCGCUUUCCUGGCUCGUAUAUAGUUCAACUCGAGGACUUCUUCCAUAUAUGGGUGCAAAAGCACCAAGAGUAAUUUUGACAGUUUAAGGCCCUGUUUCUCCAAGGCAUUACAGUGGUUAAGACUGGCUUGAACACAAACACUUGCUGCAUGUAAAGCAGGAGCUCCAUCAGAAGGCGGUGCGUGUUCUUUAACCAACCGCACAAAGUAUUCAAUUUCCCUUUCUGCCCACUGGAUAAUUCUGUUGCUAUAAACAGGAUUGUCACCAAACAUUGCACCAGAUUCCUUAGUAGUCAAAGAAAUGGUAGAGAAUACAAGGUUAGACAAUGUGGCUGAAUAAGUCUCGGGAUAACAAGGACAAAGGGGAAGGAAAGCCUCAAUACUUUUUCGAAGACGAGAUCUGUACGAAUUAACAAGUAGCUGAUGUGCCAAAGAACCUUUUCCAAGCUUGAGCAAACCAGACAAGGCUUUCUUAAGUUCAACAAUGCCAAUUGAGGGCCGUUCAGUGAUCUCAACCAGCUGAUUCUCGAGCAUCUUUUUUCUUUUAGACAAAGCAGAUUUAAAAGAUGAUGGUUCAGCAGAUGAAGUGUCUCCUGAACUUUUCAGCUCAGGAUGACUUCUUUCUUUAGCAUCUAUUGCCUCUAUUACUUCCUCAAUCUUGUGCUCAGCCAGAAGAACAUCAAUAUUCUCCAAAAACAACAUGUUUUCAUCUUCCAUGUCAUUCAUGAAAGUAUCACCAUAAUCAGAGCUUCGAGAACUUUCAUUAGCUUCUUGGACAUCAUCACUAGUUCGACUCCAUUCAUCCAAUUCUCUGCAUACACCAUUCAUGAGAUCUUGAACAAGAAUCCCCUGUGCGGAUAUAUGCUUUCUAAGCUCAUUGAGUUCGUGUUCUGUUUCCACAACUUCCUCGGACAAUCUACAAUGACAAGAACAGAUUAGAAGUUGACCUUUGCAUGUAGAGGGGUCACCUACCAUUACAUGAGUUCAUUUAAGGUUGUGUGAUAACAGUGUCUAUAACUAUCCAAUGUGUCUGUGAUUUGACCACUAAUCCAGUGUACUUAAAAGAAUCUGCACAAAGGACCCAUAUCCAAGUUGCACCCAUUUGGCAUGGGUACAUCAAGGCGAAUGAAGGACACAUAACAUGAUCAAGAGAUUAAACUGAAGGUGAUAGGUACAAAAAAUACAUAAAGCAGCCUGAUGCAAAAAGUAGGCAGUAAUGACAAAAAGAACAGCUGAACAUGCAAAGUUCAAAAAGACUAGAUGCAAGUAAUCGGUCUAGCUAAAUUUAUGGAGAUUAUUAACACCAUCUACAUUUUGAUCUAGAGAUAGUAAGUUGAACAGUCAAUAAACUCUCUUUCAAUGUGUUUUUUCAUAUCUCAUGUAUUUGUCGAUAAGGAACUAUGUCUUGUAGCCUUCUCGAAUAAAAAAGCUCUCAUAUAAUAAUUUGGAAUAUAAGAAGAGCAAUUUGAUGAUGAUUAUUCUCCUAUUUCACAAAUAGAUGCAAGAGCAAUUCGUCCCUUUAUUACAUGCUAUCUCUGCUUUCAGUUCCUCUACCUAAUUAUGCACGUAAAGCGUUCAGUAUUGAUGUUAGGAUUUCUGAUCAAAUAGAUAAUGGAACCACUAUAUAUUGAUAAAUCUGACUGCCAUUCUGUUAAAUCAACUCUUAUCUAUGAAAGUUUUUUUAAAAAAUAUAACAAACAAAAAGCAAAAAGAUAAUAUAGAAGGGUACACAAAAAAGGAAGCAUAAAACAGGGGACAAAUUGCACUUAUCCAGAUAAAUAUUAGAUAUCUUCUAAUGCUGUGCUAGUAAACCAACUGUUUAAAGGAUGUGUCUCUCCAAACUUUUCUACUUCUUACCGUUUCCCCACAACCGAAACCCCCCCCCCCCAGAACCAUAUAAAUGGAAAGACACGUCGGGUUCCCUCUACAGUUCUAAGGAAGGAUUCUCAAUAUCAGAGACUAGAACAUCAAGAGGCAACCCAUAAAAAGUGGACACAGUUGGGUUGAUUUUUGGUUCUUCUAGAAAUAGGAUUUGCUAUCGACAUGAACUCAACAUCAGACUUUAGUAUGAGUCCAAAUACAUAAACUACCAGAUAGUUCUCAUGGUCUCCUAGCUGUGAAGGGAUGCCGCCUUCUGUACAAAUUAUAUCACAUCUCUUUGAGGUAGUACCUGUAUUUGCCGAUGAUACACAUUUUCUCAUUUAAGUUUUGCCAUUGUGCCCUUGGAAAUUUAAGUUUUUAACAGACUGGUAACCAUAGUUUCCAUAGAAAAGGCAGGAAAAAUGUUUAUGAAAAUGUAGUAUUGAACAGAAUUCUCUUCCACUUUGUUUUGGUCUAGUAAAAGAGUUUCAUCAGCCAAUACCUCAAGAAGGCCAGGCACUUUGUUCGAGUAUUACCACACAGGUUCUCCACCGCAUCCUUCAAAUCCAAAAGCUCAAAACAGAUUUUCCUAAUUCCCUGCACAACUCAGAACAAUAAACUGGGGAACCCAUAAGAAAGACAAAAACUGGCAAAAUCAGCAAGCACUCCAAAAAUAGUGGGAAAGAUAAAAACUACUUUUAUCUGUGAUAUAUUGAAAAAUUAACCAAAAAGAAACGGAACAAGCACUUAAAGAAAUUGAGUAUGCAUUUUUUGGAAAUAAAAAAAGGUAAUAGUUUGGCACAUAACAAGCACUUACAGAUGUUUGUACUACCAAUUUUUUCCUAUCUAUUCAUGGUAUACAGAAUUCCUAAUAUCGACAUAACAGAAAUCAAGUUCGAUUAUUGUAGCCAACAUAUCUCCACACACAAAAAAAAGUUAAGGGAUGUUAUCAAAGAUAAAUUGGGAAGAACUCUAAUUGAAUUGGUUGAAGAUAAUACAAGAGAAGCUCUAAUACAGGAACCUUAGUCUACCUACAAUAAAAUAAGUAAUUAUUUUGUAUGUCCAAUAAUAUAUUCUUUAUGGAUAUGGGUUGUGUUAGCAUCAGGACAUGUUGUCAAGAAAAUUCUGCCCACCAAGGCUGGAGUAUAUAGGCUCACACCAAGUAUUGUAGUGUAAUUCGGACAUGAGAUUUCUAGGUUGUUACUCCCAUGACACAACCUCUAGGUCAUCCCCUUGUGAACAAAAAGGGGCAUCCUUUAGCUUUCUUCCUUAAAUCUUUUGUUUGGAAAAAAAAACUAAUUUUACCUUGCACUUGUUAACAAAGCAGAUUUUUAAAACUCCCUUGCCUUAUUUUCCCAACUCCUCUUAUUUGAUCAUAAUUCUUCACGUCUACUCACCGCAUCGCCAACCAUUCUCCUUAUUUUAACCUUUACCCUAAGGAUGGUUGCAAGCAUUCUGGUAUGAUCCACUACAUUUGCUCAUUUUAACUCUCAAGUACAGUUUGGAAUUAUUCUGGUCAAGACCAAGAACAGACAGUAUUCUGAAUUCAAAGUCCUCGUAAAUAUACUCAUUUCCAGAUAAGGUCCUCAUAAAUGUACUCAAAUUGUCAAGAUUCAUGUCCAACUAUAUCAGCGAGAUUACACUAAGAAUUAUCCACUAGGAAGAUUAUUUGAAGAAAUUUACUGAAUCAACAUUAAUAAAAUGAAAGAAGGCACUACUGGCACAUUAAUACAUCAGUAAAACUAGUACAUAGAUGUUGAAAUUUUACUGGUCUAAAGCAAAAAAAAUCCCCGAUUAUAUGGAAGAGCAUCUUUGAUGCAUAGAGAAGCUAUAGAUAAUCAACUAACAUCCAAAAAUGCUUAACAGUCCCAUCACACAUGAUUAAUUCAACCACUCUAUGAAGCUCAAAAUUCUAUAAUCCAUCCACAUGUAGAUGAAACGGAUAGCUUCUAAGCUUCCCUACUUCCAAUAAGCAGAUCCAUGAACCAGUCAUGCAGAACAGAAAAAACAACAAUUGUAGCUAGUUUUAAGCCCUGUUCUCCCUCAAAAAUCACACACAUCGUCACCAACAAAAAAUCAUGAACCAAGGAAUCAGCUCUUGUCCCUGCCUAGCAUAUAACCAAGUUAAGGCAGACACACUUCAGGAAGACCUAAGCCAAAUAUUUUCACCAAAGCACUAACAUUUACUCCCAGCACUUAAAAUAUAACCUAGGAAACCAAGUUGAAUUUGAACUCACAAUAUAAGGAACAUCCACUUAACUAUUCAUGGAAGAACUAAAGCUUAGUAUCACUUCAGCAGGUAAAACUAGGUUUGUUUCUUCUACUCUAAAAAGGGAUACCUCAAGAAACCAAACUAAAUAAAAAUUCCAAAAAAUAAAAAUAAAAAAUCCCACCUAGAAAAACUCACAAAUUUAGCUCAGAAAACAGAUCAAACUUCAAGGAAAGAACAAGCACACUUCCACAUUUCAUCUAGUACCAAAAAUUUUACUUCCAGUACUUGAAGCGAAAACCCAGCAAACGAAAUUGAACCACAACUCCAAAAAUAAAGAUCACCUAGAUGAAAAGUUCCAAACUUGAUUCCAAAAAUUGAUCAAACCCCAAGAACAAAUAAGAGCAGUUGAAUUUGCUAUCAUGCUAUUUUCUGAGUUAAUGAAACAAAAUGGGGGUGAAAAGAACGUAGAGAAAAUGCAAAAGAUAGUACCUUUUCAGUCUUGGACUGGUAAAUUGAGUCGAUCUUGGACUGAGGAGUAACACUUUCAAUACAUGGGAAAUCAUCUUCUUCUUCACUGCUUUCCAUCCUCAUUUUGGCGUUUCCAACCAGUAGAUUUUCCGCUUUUGCAGCUAUGAAAAUGGGAAAAAUGAAGAGACACACAGUUCAGUGGACUUCGCCUUGUAAUUGGAGAGUUCGAAAAAAGAGCCUUUAAAUUAGUAAAUGAUUUAUACAUGUUACCAAUUUAAUUAAUAUAUAUGUUACUAAUUUAAUUAAUCAAAAUAAAAUAAUUUAUGUUCCCUUACUGAAAACUUGACUUCAAGGAAUCACUAAACAAAGAUAUAAUGAUAAAUUUACCUAGUUUUUUUUUUUUUAAGAGACGUGAAAUCUAAAUUGAUGACAUAAAUAAAAAUGGAAGAGUAGUAUAAAGUACAGAAAUCUCAUAUAUUUGGAACUAAUUACAUUUUAUCUUGAAAGUUUCUUCAAUUACAAAUUGCUCUCAGAUACAUUUAUUAUUGUGCGAUACGUUGCAAAUUUACUUAAUGGGAGGGAUGUAUCCGAGAGAGGAUAAGAAUGCAUUCGAGAGGAGAUAGAUGUAUUCGAAAAGGAAUAGGAAUGUAUCCAUAAGAGAAUUUUUGUAACUUUUUUAAAUGAUAGGAAAUUUUAGAGAUCAUGAUAUCUCAAAUUGUGUAUUUAUGUAAAAAAAAAUUCCUAACUUGUGUUAUCAUUCAUUUUCAAAAAAAAAAUUGACAAAGAAAAAUAAAAAGGCCAAAAUGUUCCUUAAAAAGUCAUGACAACAAACAUAAUUAAUAUGAAUUUGAAAAAGGGGAAGAAAACAAAAGGGAAAUAUCAUUGAUUUGUAUACGAAAAACUACUACUACUAUUUGUAAUUGAAAAUGACUUCGAAAAAACAAGUUCAGAUAAAAUUGUACUAUAAAAUAUGUGUAUAACAACAUAAAUUUUGUACAACAAACUAGAAAUGAACUUUAGUCCAAAACUACAAAAAAAAAAGGGUGUUUUUAUAANNNNNNNNNNNNNNNNNNNNNNNNNNNNNNNNNNNNNNNNNNNNNNNNNNNNNNNNNNNNNNNNNNNNNNNNNNNNNNNNNNNNNNNNNNNNNNNNNNNNNNNNNNNNNNNNNNNNNNNNNNNNNNNNNNNNNNNNNNNNNNNNNNNNNNNNNNNNNNNNNNNNNNNNNNNNNNNNNNNNNNNNNNNNNNNNNNNNNNNNNNNNNNNNNNNNNNNNNNNNNNNNNNNNNNNNNNNNNNNNNNNNNNNNNNNNNNNNNNNNNNNNNNNNNNNNNNNNNNNNNNNNNNNNNNNNNNNNNNNNNNNNNNNNNNNNNNNNNNNNNNNNNNNNNNNNNNNNNNNNNNNNNNNNNNNNNNNNNNNNNNNNNNNNNNNNNNNNNNNNNNNNNNNNNNNNNNNAAAAAAAAAAUGGGUGUUUUUAUAAGAUAUAAAAGUUUGAUAUAAUAACAAAAAGUCGUGUACACUUGGGUGCAAUUUAUUCUAUUUAUCUAAUAAAGUUUUGGUAACGUAAACAGUAAAAAGAGAGAACUUUACAUGAAGAGCAAGUUUUGAUCAUAACAGCAACAACAACAAAGUCUAAGUACAUUUCAUUGAUAAAAUCAAGUACAAUACAUGAUAAUGUUUUAACUUUGUCAAGAUUGACAGAGUAUUUGUGAAGAAAUACAUAACAGAUAAGAAAAACACUUCCAAAGAUAAAUAAGAUUGUGGAACAAUUGCAGAUUACAAAUGUUGCAGAUAACUUAAGAGGGGAAGAAUAUGAAGCUUAAAAUGUUAUUAUUCCCCAAGUCUUCAGAAACUUGAAUCCUAUUUAGUGUUUAGUUGAAGAAUUAGCAAUCACAUUGAGGCGUCGAGGAAAGCAUCAGAGACAUCAAGUUCCACGUUCAGGUUUUUGGCUGAAGGCAUUCCUGCAACCACUUCUUCUUCAAUGCCACACUCGUUUGUUCCUCUUCUGAUCUUGAAGUAGCCAUCCUGCCAUGAAGACAAAUAUACAUUUGAGAAGAACAUCAUAAGGAUGUACGCGCUGCUCAAUUAGCACAUCUUCAAGAAGUAGGAAAGAUGAAAUCACCCAACAAUGUACAAAAGUAAUAGCUACGGAUGUUGAACAUUAUGAAUCAAGUGUGUAAAAUCCUAUUAAGAAAGGGUAAACCAAUGGUUCAACAACUUUUAAUAUUUUUCGUAGAAGAAGAAGGAACUAUUUCUGCUCAAGUAAAAUGUUGAAAGAAAAAGGGUUAGAUCAAGACAUACGUCACCCCAGCCUCUGUUCCAUUGAUUGGCAAGGAGCUGCAAAGCCAAAAAAAAGAUGAUCGAAUUUAGAAAGGACGGAAUGAUUUUGAAGAUCUUAAUGGCACAAUUAGAAGAUGUCAACAAACCCAAUAGUUCUCUCCAUCCUCAGAGGUUCCCCAUCCAAUGAGCUUAACAGCAUGUCCUCCCAUUUCCUCACCAUUUAUGUGUUUGUAAACUCCAGACUUGUAGUGAGCGAAAUCCUGCGCUCGAGAAACAGAAAUAGUAAAGAAACUAAUCCAAGUCGGCAAAUUUCAAUUUCACCAGAAAAGAGGAUGCAUUCACAAGGACACCAUGCUGAGGGCAAAUGCAAGAACAAAAUAAGCAGUCUACUACUUUAGUAUGCACCAAUUGACAAACAGUACGAUUAUGCAGAAAUGGCUCAAAUAUUUCCAGACUGAGAAAUUAGUGCGUUUAAACAAUGACCUCUAGAUCCAUUUAAGCAGAUCAUUGAACUUUCUAACUGGCACUUCAUUGUCAUGGACAUAAUUAUCCUGGAACAUAAACCUCUACAGAUCACUAAUUGGCACAAUAUUUCCACAAACAUAGUAGAUGGUAACACUAGAAUUCAGAAGGAUAGAGUUAGUGACCAACAAUUAUUUUGAGCUCUGUCGAACAGCUUAUCAACAAUUAUUUGACAGUUAACCAUCAAAAGAAAGUAAUUCCAAUUAUAUUUUGCUAUAUAACUCAGCCAAGCAUUAUUAUUGUCCUCACAUAUGAUUUGUAAGGGAAUCACAUUUAAAAAAUUAGAAAAGGGUAUUUGUAAUAUUUAACUAAAGUUUCUCAAAGUUCAUUAGAGUUGGCCUAAAAUAAGCCGUCCAAGGUUAACAAUAUCACGGGGUAGAUAGAGAACUGCUGUUCGAUUGUUGCUUGGGAUUAAGGCAUAGUUGUUAUUGUUGUUGUUUAUCAGGUUCAUGCAACAUUCAACUUCAUAUCAUAUAAUAUAAAUUGUACCCAAAAAUUCAGGAUCAGAACUUUACUCUCUUUCUCGAUCAUUCUUACCUCGUAAACAGUAAAAGAAACCUCAACUGGUCCAUUCUUGUAAACUUCUGUCAUGAUACUGUACGGAUCGGAGUUGAUCAGGUAUGCAUUGACGCCAAAAUGCUUGGAUUUACUCCAGAGUAGAUUCUCUUUAACACACUUCCUCUUGCACUGUGGAGUGGGAUAUCCAGGUUCACAUCCAGGGUGGGAACAUCCCUUAUUAUCAAAGUAAGGGUCACACUGACAGGAAAAAUUUUAUUAGUCGAGCAUAAUGAUCCACAAUCUUUUUUCAGAUUGGUAUAAGAAUCCCACAAUAUCUGAAAGAUGUAAUCCCUCUGAAGUACAAUAAGUGUAUAACAAAACAGAAUACCUCUUCAGUGACCACACCCUUGCGAACAAAGUAUUUCCAAGCUUCUAAUGGAUAUCCACCAUCACAACCAUCCCCACAUAAAUAGCCACAGCAUGCUACGAUAUCAUUAGCUGACAGAGAGAUAUUCUGCCUCACACAUAAAAAUUGAAUCAUUAGCGACAAUAACUAGAAUAAACUUGCAAGUUUUUGCAUGAAGGAAUGAAUUUACCAAGCCAUAAUGAAUACAGAAACGAUCAGACAAUGACUCAGCAGCACCAAAAGCCCAACAAGAACCACAAUGUCCCUGAAAUAUAAACGAUCAGAUUGUUAGAAUACCAGGAAAGAGCGAUUUAGCAAAUUCACGAGGAAAAACAAAUGAGUGAAAUUAGAACCAAGACAAAUCACCUGAUCUGCGUCGCAAAACAGUACCGGUGCAUGACAUCGAAAGAUGGAAAGCAUUAGCACCACUCUAUAGAAUUACAGCACUAAACCAAGGACAAAAGAGAAGAAACUAACCAAGAAUUCUCCCAAUAGUGCUACACUGAGGCCAAGCCACUCGUGCAUCAAACUCUUGGGGUAACUUCAAAAGUUCUGGAUGAGUUAAAAUAGGGAUGCCCUUCAAAUCACCCUUUCUUGUGGGCUUAACUCCAAGAAGGCGCUUAAAUUGGGAAACCUGUGAAUGAAGGGUACAUGCACUCAUAAAAGGAGAGCUGAAGGAUGUGGCAUUGCACAAAGAAAGUGCACCUAAGUUUGUCCAAAACGAAUAUACAGCUUUAUCGAAAUCUCACCGUGAAAUUCGAGAAUUGAGGGUUCAGUGCAGCUCUCCAUCCAGCUUUUUCAUUUUCGUUAACCUGUUUAACGAUUGAAUCCUGUACGACCAUUCAAAAAGAAUCUGUGACCUUUAGUUUGAUCAGAGUACAAUGACAGUAAUAUCUUCUCUAUGAUGAAGGAAAUCACACCUGAAGGAUUGCAGAUUCCGCUUUAGCUUGGGAUAUUGGAUUUUCUGCAACAACCUGCUUGCCGUUCAAAAAAAGAAAUUAUGUAUUCAACAAUGGACUACAGGAAGAUUAAAUAACUUCGGGUAUAGGCUUCAGCAUAUGGUACUUUAACCAACCAAGACUACGCUUUCGCAAUAAUUGGACCUAAAUCAUCCACAAUUCAGACUGUCAACCUUCUAAAUGCCUUAAAUUGAAUCCUAGCUGCUGUAAAGUCGAAAGCAACAUUGAGAAUAUGAAAGAGAUUAAGAACUCGAUCAUGUAAUUUUGGCUCAAGCAGCAACGCUUCUCCUCCACCAUUUCCCCUUUUCUAUUUCUUAGCAAAAUAGGGGAAGUCUGGAGGUGAAGUCUUCAAUUUCCCACUUACAAACUCAACAUAGCAGCAAAAUGCUGUUUCGCAUUUCUAGUUUUCUUUAAUUUCCAGUCAUAGCAUGCCAUGAAUUUUCUCAUUCAUUUGACCCAUAUACUUUUUUCUUUCUUCUACUCGUGAAACACACACAACCAUUGUUGCAAAAUCUACACUUGUACUGCAAGUGUAUAUUGUUUUGCAUUCAUUUAGCUGCAAGAGAACUAGGACUGGAAAGAAAACUAUAUUUACUUCGACCUAAAUUGAUAAAUUGAUUUGGUUCAUAAUAUUAAAAAGUUAGUUGUAAAUAUAAAAACAAAUGUUUUCAUUUUCUUCGUUUGGCAUAGACAAUAGAUGCAACUAUAUGUGCUAAGUCUGAAUGUUUAUGCCCGUCCCUUACCACUCACAAAUUAUUCAUCAGCAUCCAAAUAUAUUAAGUUAGAGCAAGAUAGCAUCAAGUUCAGGCUCUGGUACCAUUUGACAAUUCCCACUCAACAUUUUAUAAUCAAGGAACUUAAAGUGUGAAUAUGAACCAGCACAGAAUAAACAGUGGCCUUGCAGAAGCUCAUGGCAAACUAGGAUUUGUCUCCACAUGGCUUAAUUAGACAAUUACUUUCUUAGGAGUUAGGACCUGGGCAAUUGAUUCAAUUGGGCAAUUACUUGCUACGAAACAUCUUUCUACCUUUAUGUAAUCUUAGAAUUAUGUACUGCGGUAGAUUAUCAUCUAGUGGCGCUUCAUUCAUAUACACCUUUAAAGUUUAUGGUAGGUGAAAAACCAUAUACACAAAAUACCAUUACACCAUCCAUCCCCCUCCCCCUUUCCACACUGUCAACCCAACAUACUUCGAUUGUUUUUGGUACAUAAUAUACCUCAACUACAUGUAUAUAGAUACAUAUAUAUCCCACCCCACCCCCAAACCCAAAAAGGGAAAACAAACAAACAAACAGACCCCAAGCAAACCUAAUCCUCAAGAAUUGCAGGUAAUAUAAACAGAACCUUUAAAAAACACUAAAAAGAUUUCAUUUUUUAGGGGUAUAUUAGUUAAUUAACUAAUUAUCAUCAUGAUUACCAAGAUUAAGCUCAACCCAAAAGCUAAAAAUGAAAAGGACAUGGGGUUUCGGUCUGAUACAAUAACUUAAUCCAUCCAUUCAUCUAAAAGCUAUAUAAAGCAAACCAAUCAUCCAAAAACACAACAAAAAAAACCAUAAAGAAUCAAGAAUCAAACCUGCAAAACAAGGGUAGAGACAGCAACCAAAAGCAAAAAAGUGGUUAUGUGCUUCAUAUUUUUGGGCUUUCCUUUGGGGUUCUGCAAUGGUGGUUUAAAAAUAAAGCAACCCCAGAAAAUAUAUAUUUAUAGAUACAGGAAAAAGAUGAAUGAAUUAUUGGCCCUCUUUCUUGACGUAUUAAAAAAAAAUUAUAUUAUUGCUCCCGAUAUUUUGAAUUAAAUAAUUGGAUUAAUUAAUGUUCAGUUCCAUAGGUCUGGAAAAUGUUUAGUUGAGGAACACGUGUAAUUUUUUUAUUGGAUAUAAGAGUGUACUAAUUUUGUCAUUUUAAAGAUAAAAGGCCUAAGUCAUCCACCGCCACUCAAAUUUAUCUGCAUAUUUGACUAAAAAAUGUGUUUCACCCUCCUUAAGCGCGUUAAACAAUUGAUUUUUUAUUUUUUAUUUAUUUUCCAACUUAUACUGCUAAUAUUUUUUAAAAUUAAUUAACAAAAAGAAAUGAAAAAAGAAGAAGAAAAGUCGUCUUCUUCCCCCACCCCUCUUUUCAUAACCUCCUUCACCCACACCCUUUCCACCUCUCUCAUUCUUUCUCUCACUCUCUCCAACUCUUUUUGGUUUUUACCUUCUUUCAUUUUUUAGUUAUUACAUAGACCUAAGUUUCAUAUUUUCCGGCAUAACUCCAUUUUUUCAAUGAAGAUAACAUUUUUUUUCGGCAAAAGUUAAUUAUUUUUCAUAUAAUUGUAAUAAAUGAUUAGUAAUGGAAAGAAAAUGAAUGGAACGAGUGAAAACUUUUGAUGCUAUUCGGUUGAAAGGGGAAUUAAUUUUAGCUUGGGUACGCAACCAUGUCAUACUACUUGGGGCGAAGAGGCAAGGCUUACUCAUUGUGAUCACGAUACCGCCGGGGAAUGUGAUAGUACAUGAUUUGACGAAGAGGACUGGUGGCGUGGGUGUGUAGGUGGCUUUUUUAGAAAAAUCGUUUUAAAUUUUUUAGUUAGUUUUUUAAAAAAAUAAUUAAAAUAGACUAAAAUAGUUGUUUUUUAGAAUUUCAUUUUUAAAAUACAUUUUUAGAUUUAAAUUACACAUGUCAUCAUUUAAUUCAUCAAUUUGUCAUGUCACUGUGAUGUCACAACAAGUGUAUUACACACAUCUCAUAUUUUGGGCUGAUUGUCAAAACAAUGUCAAAUAGGUAUCAAUUUUAAAGGAUACAGGUGUUCAAUAGAUACAAACUUUAGUUGCGGUGUUUAAACGAAUUAUGUGGAUAAUUUUAAGGGGUCGUGAAUAACUUAAGCCUAAAGAUAAAUUAACGAUUGAGAUAUCUUAUCAUCUGUUUGUAAAAAAGAUAUUAAAAUAAAAAUCCUUCAAGGUAUUUUUAAUUUGAAAUGAACUAUCCACUUGUUUGUUUACCAUUAUUUGGAAGAAUGGGCCGUAAUUUCAAUUCUUGUUUUUUUAUGAAAUAAAUAAAUAUGAAAGAUAACGUAAUGGGUCUUAUGGAUAUAUACGUAUAUCUUUCAACUUGAAUAGAAAAAUAUAAUAUUAUUAAAAGAAUUUAGUAAUAAUAUGUUGGAAAGGUACUAGAUUAGUUUAGUUUACAUUGAGAAAUAAAAGUUCUUACUAAUACAAUAUUUAGAUUUUAAUAUAAUAACUUAAUAUAUAUUAUAUACUUAUAUAUAUUCAUGAGUUAAUAUCUUAAAAUGUCACUCAACUUUAGAAUUUUAUCUAGCAAAGUCACUAAUCUUUAUUUUGUAUCAAUAAAAUCACUCAAUUUAGGCCUUUAUAUCAAUAAAAUCACUCAAUCAAUUCCUAUUAAAAACAAUUCACACCACAAAUAAAUUAAUUUUUUAUAUUAUGUUCAUGAUUAAACUACUAAAUACAUGACUCAAAAUUACUAUUUCAUUAUAAAAUAAUAAAAGUUCAAAAUAAAAGAUAAAUUUAUCAAAUUUACAUAAUUAUAUUCAUGUUAUAAUCUUAAUAAACAUCUUAUUUUUUCUAUUUAUACGAGUGACUUUAGGCCAAAGUUUUAAUAGAAAAUUAUGUAACUUAAAAAGUGGCGUGUGGACAACUAGUAUGGUAUUGGAUUUGAUGGGAUGGCUUAUUUAUCUUAUGAUUUUUUAAUUCAUUUUGAAAAGAAUAUUUUUUUAAGAUUGCACAAUAACACUCUGACAAGAAAAGGGAUGCGUUAACGCGUAAGUCGUAAUUGCUACUUUUUCUUUCUUGCUCCUUAUUUCAAACUCAAGAAAAAUCCUGAUAAAUACGAGAAAAAAGCACUCAAGCGCCCAAGCCCGUUUGGCCAUAGAUUUCCCAAGUAAAACUUGGGAAAAAAUUUGGCAAAUAUUGUUUGUCCAUACACUUUCUCAUUAUUUGGCAAAUUUUUUUGGCAAAUAACCCAAAUUCCCAAAUACUAGUUUUUUCUAGUAUUUGGGCCAAAUCUCUUUAUUUGGAAAGUUUUAAAAAUUCAAAUUUAACACCAAACUUUUAUCUUUUACAAAAACACUUUAUUUAUUAACACCAACCAACUCAAUCAAAUCUCCAUAUGCUAACUAACUCAAUUAAUAAAUUUUUCUAUUAUAAAGAGCAUACAUGUACAAGAGCAUACAUUGCAAUAUUUAUUUCCUUCUGUUUUCUUCUUCUUUUUCAAAUUCAUAUUAGUUGUAUUUUCAUUAUCAUGAUUUGUACUAGUCUUUUUUAACGAUGCGACUAUUUACUGUAAUGAUGCUUUUGAUUUGUUGCGGAAGUCAUGAAUCUUGUUACGCGACAUUUCUAUUUUGCUAUGUAAUACAAAUUUAUGGUUAGUUUUGAUAGUUUUAAAAACUUAUGGGCAUAAAUCAUAUUUCUUAAAAAAAUUGAAAUAUAUUUCCCAAAUACUAUGGCCAAACACAUGGUGAAAUUUCACCCAAAUCUUCACCCAAAUAAUAUUUGCCAAAUAUAUUUGGAAAUCUAUGGCCAAACGCUAGCUAUAUAAGGGGGCUUGGGCUCAAAAGUUGGUCUUACUCAACAAACACCUUUCUUAGCAAAGUUGUAGUAACUCUUUAAUGCUAACUUACCAUGUGACAUGUUUAUGAUCACAAGAUUAAAAAAUAUUUUGUCACAUUACAUGUCUUUGAUUUAAGACUACAAUAUUUUAUUUUUUUAAAUUAUUUUCUUAAACUCCGUGUCAAACUGAAACUAAUUAAAUAGCAAUUUACAUUGAGGCAUCAAGGAAAGCAUCAUCAAGUUCUACAUUCAAAUUUCUUGCUGAAGGCAAUCAAUCUUGCAACCACACUAUGUUCAAUGCCAUACUCAUUUGUUCCUCUUUCUGAUCUUGAAGUAUCCAUCAUGUCAUCACGGAGAGAUAGAGCUUGGCUUAAGUCAUCUGCAGCCCCUUAAAGUUGUCCGCAUAAUUCAUUUAGACAUCUCAACUGAGACUCGUACCUAUUAGACACUUUAAUAUUAAUGAAUAUUUAUCUAUUGAACAUAAAAUGACAACUAGCAUUAAAAAUAUUGUGCGUGUAAUUCACACACAUUAUCUUGACAAAAUCACGAAUAAAAUUACGACACGUGACACAUGGACCCAUAAUUUUAAUUUUGAAAAAUAAAAAAUAAUUUUCAGCCUUUAAUAAUAGAGAAAAUUAAAUUGACAAAAAAAAUCUCCCCACUCCCUACCUAACCCCCCACCCCAUCUAACCUAUUUGCCCUUUUCUCCUUCGUCUUCUUCUCUGUCACUCCGCCAUCGCCAUUCACCAUCGAUUUCUCCGGCGAUAACAAAAAGAAAAAUAUCUCCCCCACCCCUUCCUGAAUACACCCACCAAAUCCUUUCCUCUUUCUUUUUCUUCCCGUGUUACUCAAAAUAAGAAUAAUCGACAUCGAUAAAUUAUUUCGAAAUUGAAAACGAAGAGAAAAUCAGAAUUAUAGCAAAAAAAUUUAUAACAUUUUUUAAUAAGUUUAAUGAAUGGUGAUGGUUGCUCGAUCGGAGUUAUUGAAAAUAAAGAUGCACAAUUGGUCGACUUUUUAACUCCAAUGGUCGAUUUUUUUUCUUCUUCUUGCAAAUUCAACAGGCAGUUUGUUUGCAAAUUUAGCAGGCAGUUUGUUUACCAAAAAUGAAGAAAAAAAAAAUGCCAAAACAAAAGACAGAAAUUUGAAGUCUUGAAAAUGAUGGGUCGAAGAAGAAGAGGACUUGUACAUGGGUGUGAGGGUGAUUUUUUUUUUUAUGAAUUAAGAUUAAUGUUUAAUUAAAUUAAUUUUUCAUUUAUUUAGUCAAUGCAUGCCAGGUGUCAAGAAAGUAGGUAUAAAUUUACUUUAAACAAUAAAAAAAAAUGUAUUCACACGCUCAUCAGCAGUGAGAUACACUUAUUUUGCCACAUCAGUGUUUUGUGUUUAAUAGGUACAUGUCUUGAACAAUUUAGGUGUUCAAUAGGUACAAGUCUUAGUUCAGGUGUCCAAGUGAAUUAUGCGGACAACUUUAAGGGGUCGUGGAUGACUUAACCCGAUAGAGCUUUAACUUACAUGCAUCGACUAUGUAUGAUUUGUAGUAAAUAAUAAAUAGUUUGAGAUAAUUAUUUUUAGAAAUUAUGACAAAUUAUUGGAGAUGGAUGGAGUAAUAUAUAAUUCUCGAGGAAAUUAUCUAAAAACAAAAUUAUAGUACUCUCUCUAUACAUAUUUACUUAUUCAUUCUCGACUCACUUGACGCAUCUUGUAAAGAAUAAUAAAUAGAAUGAUAAUUUUAUUAAUAUUAUCUUUUAAUCAUGAUAAAUUCAAUGUUUUUAAAAUGCAUUGAGAAAGUGACAAAUUUUCUCAUGAUUUUUCAAAUUGAUCAAGUGAAAAUGAUAGUUAUUUUUAGAACCCCGUUUGGCCAUGCGAAUCAUGAUAUGGUAUCAUGAUAUGGAAUCAUGAGAUGAAAUUGAAGGUUUGUUUGGACAUGAUAUAUGGAAUUUUUGUGUAAUAUAUUUUUUCAUANNNNNNNNNNNNNNNNNNNNNNNNNNNNNNNNNNNNNNNNNNNNNNNNNNNNNNNNNNNNNNNNNNNNNNNNNNNNNNNNNNNNNNNNNNNNNNNNNNNNNNNNNNNNNNNNNNNNNNNNNNNNNNNNNNNNNNNNNNNNNNNNNNNNNNNNNNNNNNNNNNNNNNNNNNNNNNNNNNNNNNNNNNNNNNNNNNNNNNNNNNNNNNNNNNNNNNNNNNNNNNNNNNNNNNNNNNNNNNNNNNNNNNNNNNNNNNNNNNNNNNNNNNNNNNNNNNNNNNNNNNNNNNNNNNNNNNNNNNNNNNNNNNNNNNNNNNNNNNNNNNNNNNNNNNNNNNNNNNNNNNNNNNNNNNNNNNNNNNNNNNNNNNNNNNNNNNNNNNNNNNNNNNNNNNNNNNNNNNNNNNNNNNNNNNNNNNNNNNNNNNNNNNNNNNNNNNNNNNNNNCACAAGUUUGAGUCAAAAACACUUCUAAUAAAAUUUAAUCAAAAAAAUUAUAACUAGUCCACUUGACUAAAUAUUAAUAACUAAUUGAUCAAAUUUUUCCCAAGUCCUCAAUCCAUUGGACUUGAUAUUCUUCAGUCAUGUGAUAACAUUUUGCGAAUACUAAAAGAUUAAGAAAGUGCGGCACCGCCAAUGAAAAUUGCCUUUUAUCAAUAUUAUGCUUAGUCAUAAGAUUAAGACGUUUUUUUUUGUUAUGAAAAAUCAAAAAAGUAUUAGUCCCUUCGUUCUUAUUUAUAUUCACCAAAUGAAUUUCUACUUUAUCAUUUAUAUUCACCAAAUUUAAAGUAAUAAUAAAUUUUAUAUUGGUGAGAAUAAUAAAUUUUAAAAAGUAAUGAUGUGAUUAUAAAUUUAUUUACAUAUGAAACAAAUGGUUAGUAGAUAUAAAUGUGGGGUUGUUUUAACAAAAUAUAAACUCAUGGAUCAAUUAUUGUAUUAAAAUAUCUCAAAUCAUGAUAUGGAAUUACAUGGUGAUUCCAUAUCAUGGUUUUUGGAGAAUAUGGUAUCAUCUCUCAUGAUAUGGAAUCAUGAGAUGGAAUCAACGUAAAAUCGCAUGUCCAAACGAUGAUUCCAUCUCAUGAUACCAUAUCGUGAUAUGGUAUCGCAUGGCCAAACGCCUACUUAGUAUAGUAAACAAAUGAAAGUAUAAGAAGAAUAAAUUUAUAAAUUGUCAACUAUAUUUAUUGAAUAAAUAUAUAAACGAAUAAACUGACAAUCAUGAAAAGAAAAAUGUUAUCUUUUUCCACUCAAAAGGGGAGUCUAAUUAAAAUAAAUAAACAGACACUAAUUAAGGUCUUGAAAAGCUCCCUUUGGAGGUUUUUUGUAUGGUUUUUAUGAAUAUUAGAUAAAAAUGCAUUCGCAAAUGCGUUUAAGGUACAUUUUAACAAUUUAAAGAGAUUUUUUUUUAACUUUUUCUCAUAUUAUCCUUGGUAUAAAUAACUACAUAUUUAAUAGUAGUAGUUAAAUUUAGAGUUCCAAAGUAUAUUAGUAAAGUUAGUUUAGUAAAACACAAUUCUAAUUAAAAUUUUCUUAAGGAAUGUGUCCAGUCAAUAGGGAUCAAGUAAUACAAAAUGAAAAGAGUAUAUUCAACUUUCAUCCGAGUCAUAUUUAAACGAAUUGUGCAUAACUCUAUCGAUUUUGGUGUUGAGCUGUGUUUUUUUAAUUUUUAUUUAAAAAGCUCUUAGGUGGAUGCCCCAAUUAAAUUUAGGUUCACACGACCUCAAAGUGAAUUUUGAACUCUCUUAACUACUUAUCCAAUCUCUAGUCUUGUGUCCACGACAUUCAAAAUCUAUAUAUAUACAUAAACACUUUAAAAAUAAUUACCCUACAUAUACCGUGUAAUUUUUGUUGAGGGGGUUCAGGCGAACACUAUGACAACCCCUAGAUCCACCCCGAUUCAAGAUCACAAAAUUUAAAAGUCUUCUUUAUUUUCUUGAACUCCAUGUCAAAUAGGAACUAAUUGAAACUGAGGGAGUAAGUGCAACAAACAAAAGCAUUCUUUAAGUCAUAAAAUUGAAAAGUGAAAAGUGACUAUUAGAACAAGUAUUAAUUAUGAAUUAUACAGAUUAAAUCAACAAGAUAAAUAUGCAAUUCAUAAGGUUUUUCUUGUCCCCAGUAUCAUAUUGCUAGUAUUAUUAUGUUAUGUACUUGUUGAAGAAAUAUCAAUUUUACAUUGAGGCAUCAAGGACAGCAUCACCAAGUUCCACAUUCAAAUUUCUUGCUGAAGGCAAUCCUGCAACCACACUAUGUUCAAUGCCACACUCAUUUGUUCCUCUCCUGAUCUUGAAGUAUCCAUCCUAUCAUCAUGGAGAGAUAGAGUUUAACUUAUGUGCACUGACAAUGUACGAUUUGUAAUAAAUAACUUGCUUUAACCGGUGGAUAUACUAUUUACGUUGUCAGUAUAUAUAAGUUAAAAGUUGUAUAGAUAUGUGUGUGUUAGUGCAUGUUCAACAAGAAGUGGUGAGAGCAUAAGGAGAAAAUCAAGGAUAUAACAUACUUCACCCCAGCCUCUAUUCCAAGAAUUAACAAUGAGCUGCAAGAAGAUAUAAAGAAGGUGAUUAAAUUUUUGACAAAAUGGUGUAUGAUUUUCGAUAGAAAAUAGAAGACGAUAAUUUGAACACAUCAACGUACCCAAUAGUCCUCUCCUUGCUCACUAGUUCCCCAUCCGAUAAGCUUAACAGCGUGGCCUCCCAUGUUUCCCCCUGUUACAUGCUUGUAAACUCCUGAUUUGUAGUGAGCAAAAUCCUGUGAUUGACGAAAAGUUUUAAGUUAUUCAGUACCGGGAAGUGCUGCUAGUAAUAAGAGACAACAAAUGUUGUAAGCUUAGACAAUGUGUUGUUUGAGAACUGUGACAUAAUUUACAAUAUCUGAACUUUUGCACUAAUAAUCCUUCUUCUUGUUACCUCGUAAACAGUAAAAGAGACCUCAACUGGUCCAUUUUUGUAAACUUCCGCCAUGAUACUCUGGGGAUCAUGGCUGACCCUGUAUGCAUUGACACCGUAGUGCUUUGAUUUCCUCCACAACACGUUCCCCUUGACACACUUCCUAUGACAUUUUGGAGUGGGGUAUAGCGGUUCGCAACCAGGGUGGGAACAUCCAGUAGUGUCGAAGUAAGGAUCACACUGCCAUCAUAUGCUCAAUUUGUUAGUGAUUGAUCGUAAAGAGCCAUACUACUCUAGAUGGUUUUACAGAAAGCUGUAGUUUUACUGAGGUGACAAUAAGUCACCAUUUACCUCUUCUGUGACCACUCCCCUACGUUUAAAGUAUCGCCAUGCUGCUAUAGGAUAUCCACCAUCACAACCACUCCCGCAUAAAAAGCCACAGCACGCUAACAGAUCAUUUGCAGACAGAGAGAUACUCUGCAUUACACAUUAAAAGUUAACAUCAGUAACUGUAACUACAGUCAAACUAAACAAGUUUGUGUGCUAAGAUGAGGUGGUGGUUACGUGCUUGGCUCAUAGUCAUGACAUAGAAUUAGGCUCACACAUGAGAGGGCGUGCUGAAUUAGGCUUGUGAAAUGUAUCAUUUCUAACAGUUUAAAUUAGGCAGUCACAUAGUUCAACAGAACUUACCAAAUUAUAAUGGAUACAGAAACGAUCAGACAGUGACUCAACAGCACCAAAAGCCCAACAAGAACCGCAAUGUCCCUGAAAAAUAUAGGAUUAGAUCACUAGAGAGAACCUGCAAUGUGCCAUUUAGCACAUUUAAUAGAAAGAAACUAGACCAGUAGCAGAAAAUCACCUGAUCUGUGAUGCAAAUUUGUCCCAGUGAUUGAUGUGCAAAGAUGAAAAACAUUAGAAUCUCUAUUAUAGAAUUAUAGCUAGAAAGGACGGAGCAAGGAAGUGAAAUGACUGACCCAGAAUUUUUCCAAUUGUGCUGCAUUGAGGCCAAGCCUUUCGUGCAUCAAACUCUUUUGGCAACUCCUUAAGUCUUGGAUGAGUUAGAACAGGAAUUCCCUCCAAAUCACCUUCUCUUGCAGGCUUAACUCCAAGAAGGCGCUUAAAUUGGGAAACCUGUGACAACCAAAUAUCGACAUAAUUAUAAAUGCAUGUUUUCGGUGUAUAGCUGCAAAAUCGAAUGGGGAAGUAUGAAACAUCCCACUAAAAGAAAAUGCAACUGUCACUGGUUAACAUCAUGUCAUAUGUUCAAGGUUACUGAUCCCACUUUUUACAGGAAAUUAGGGGUAGUUAUCUUACUUUUACACUGUUAGCGUUUAGAAGUUUUAAUAUUUAGCUAUAUGAUGGUCUCACCGUGAAAUUCGAUAAUUGAGGGUUGAAUGCAGCUUUCCAUCCAGCUUCAGCAUUCUCAUUGACUUGUUUGAUGAUUGAGUCCUACAUGAUCAUCCAAAAAUUAAAGUGUUUCAGUUUUAAAUUCGACCUGAGCACAAUGACAAUAACAUCUUCCUGAAUCAUGAACAAAAGAGCAUACUUGAAGGAUUGCAGAUUCAAGUUUAGCUUCAGAUAUUGGCUUCUCUGCAGCAACCUGCUUUCAAGAAGAAGACAGCAUUACAAUACUCUUAGCCUGAAUUUUUCUGUAUGAACAAAAUAUGUAGCUAAUACAUCAUACAACUAAAACACUACAACAUGGGUGAAAUUACGACUAAAUAUAAAGCAAACAGAAGUUGUAACUAGUAAAUUAUUUCUCCUCUUCUUUCCCCUUUUGUAUUUAUUUGUGAAGCAAUACUUCCUCUCAUGUAGACUCAUGUAUAUAUAGAAGACAUAAUAUAUAAAUAGACACUCAUAAUAUAUAAACAGACACUCAAACACGGCCUCAACUGACAAGGGAGCACUCCAAUUUGAAAGUGCAUAUUUAGACAACUCAACUUGGUCUCAACUGACAACAAAACAGUCCAACCCAUUGCGUCUCGUGGACAUCUGACAUGACACAUGAGUUUUGGAGGCGUCCAGAUGAUCAUUUUGUAAGUUGGAGUUUUCAACUAACACAUUGGAGACGAGUUGAAGUGUCCAGAUGUACAUACUCAAAGUUAGAGUGCUUAGUUGCCGGGACCAAGUUUGAAUGUAUGUUUAUAUAUAUAAAGACUAUAUAGGAACAUGUAAGUUAACUAAUACAUAAGAAUUUCUCAUCAAACCAUAUACUGAAGCUGCAAAAACAUGUCUCUACUUUUUUUUUCCAUUAUGUAAUCAGAAAAUCAUUAAAAUUCAUUUAUGUUCAUUAUUUCAAGUCAAAGUCAAACUAAAGCAUAUGAAGUCCAAAUUACUCAACAAUCUUUGAUCUUUCUCAAGAAAUAGCAAAAGGCUAUUCCAUGUAAUCAUCAAAAACUAAUAAUCUAAACCAUGGCCCCGGCCCCGAGGGUCUAUUAGAAACAGUCUUUUUAUCUCACAAAUGACACAAGGUCGAAGUUACAUCCUAUCUUAUCCUACUCUCCCCACACUCUACUCGUGGAAUCACACUAGUAUGUUGUUGUUUAUGAAAAAUUCAUUCAAUCUAGUUCAAAUGAUUUAUCUAAAACCCAAUAAACUCAAAAUUCUAGCUACGUCUCUGAUCUAAACAAGACCAUCAAUUUAAUAAGUAAGAACAACCCACAAAAGAUCAUAAAAGAUAGUACUAUAGACAUGUUCAUUAAAAUUGAAGAAACAAACCUGUAAGAUCAGGAUAAAGAAAGCACCCAAAAGCAAAGGAGUUAUUAAAGACUCCAAAGUCAAGGCCAUCUUUUUUUUUUCCUUUAAAGCUUUCCAAUUGUGUUGUGGAAAUGGAGGAAUCUCAAAGGUAUUUAUAAAAUAAAGAGGAAAAAAAGAAAGAGAGAAUAACAACCAAUUUUAUUGGCCCAUUCUCUGACAAUAUAUAAAAAAAAAAUGGCUUUAUUAAACAAGAAGAUGAUGUCUACUUGUGGUUGGUUUUAUAAGAUAUUUUUUUGGAUUAAAGAAUUUUGAGUGUUUUACCUUUCCCAAAAGUCUAGUUCAACUUGGUAUGUUAGGUAUUCCAGUUGGACUAUUUCACAAGCAAUACUGCCCCACCCUACGGUGGAUAAGAAAUAGGUUAUUCAUGUGAAUACGAUGUUUGGUUAACAAUUUAGAAACUCGUUAUGAAUUGUAUAAUGCACGAUAUAAAAUGAAAUAACUCAUACUUAUAUAACUAAUCUUUGCCUAAUGAAUACCCGUAUAUACAUAAAUUCUUUCACAACUAAUCUCUAUAUUACUAAUACUUGCAUAAUUUUAACUAGCUACCAAAUGACUCUAAAAAAAUUCUUUAUAUAAUAAAAAUCUUAUAAGUUAAAUAUAUAUAUUUUUUUUAUAGAAAUUUUGAAGUCUCCAUGUCAGAUUGCUUGAGGAAACAGACUUUACAUGUGCAACCACAGUCGAUAUUCAUAUUUAAUUUAAUUGCAGUAACAAGCAGGAUAAACAAUUUGAGAAAGUAAAUGAAACGUAAAAAUUAAUUUGAAAAUUGGAGUGAUAUUGUAUUGUUGAAGUAUAAUUAUAUUAUUCCAAAUCAAUCAAUAUAGUGAAAUUGCAAGGGAUAACAUUAGUUUUGGACCUAUAUGUAAUUGUGAUGUGACAAAAUCAUAAUAGAAUUUGAUUAAGUCACGUUUCAUCCGAAGCCAGUGAUAUUACAAAGUAAAAUUCAAACUAAUUUUUUGUUUAGAUUUUCUUUUUGUUUAGUCAGGUGUACAAUUUUCCUCCACAAAGUGUGCAAAAAACUACUUCUGUCGUGUCAAAUUAAUUGUCAUAUUUCGUUAAAUUUCUAUCAAUAAUUUAAAAUGUUAUUUUUCAUCAAAUUAUCGCCCUUACUUUUCAUCUCUUUUUCUACUAGUAAUGUUUUUUUUCUUUUCCUCUUUCUUUUGAUUGAUUGAGAAAGAUCUAAAUAAAUAUCAUAUCUUUCGAAAAUUAUACGUAAUUUUGUUUUCUCAAACGCAUCUUGUAUUCUUGUUUAUUUUCUAUAUAAUAAAUAAUGAUAGUGAGUAGAAAUAACUCUUUUAAGUUUAUAGAAGGUGAACACCUUUUGUCUAAUUUAACUAUAGAUUCUAUAAAGAGCUAAAUCUUUUUGUAGGAAAACUUAUUUAUAGAGGUGUUGCAUCGGAUGUUCCCCUUUCUUUAAAAAGAAAAAUUAGGGCUAGGAAGGAAAAAUAAGGAGGUGAUUAUAAGGUAGAGAAUCGUACACUCAUCAAUAAGAUAAAUUUAUGUAACUAAUCAACUGAGAUAUUAAAAUUCUCCUUAUUAAAUGUUACUCAAUAAAGGAACAAUUAUGUUUUUUGAAUUUCUCACAAGAUAGACAAAUAUCCACAUUAUUGAGGCCUGACUUAAUCUAGAUUCAAGUAAUUUAUAGUGGAAACUUUGAAUUGUACAUCUAAUUAAAUCCACAAGAUGAAAAUGCAAUUUAGGUGUCAUUUGGUAAAAUACAUUAGAAAAAAUAAUGCAUGCAUUAACAAUAUGUGUAUUAUUAGUAUCAUGUUUCAUAGUACAUUUUUCCACCCUAUGUAUAACUAAUUCAAUACUUUAUUUGUCUCUCAAAACUUUUUCCAUGUCCUUUCUACCAUGUUUGUGGAUGGUAUUUUUGUACACAAAUAAUUUAUUUUAGAAAGUAUACAAUGCAUGUUAUUUUAAAUGCACCAAAAAUAAUCUUAUCAUAACCAAUACAAUCAUAACUAAUACUAUCAUUAGUAAUGUAAACAUUACUAAUACAUCAUAUUCAACUUUAUUCUUAUACACAUUACCAAAGGACUCCAUAAAUUGCAUAGAUUUGGUAGUAGUAUUAUUUAGGUGUCCUGUUGAUGAAGUAGCAUUUUACAUUGAUACAUUAAGGAAAUCAUCAUCAAGUUCCACAUUUAGAUUUCUUGCUGAAGGCAAUCCUGCAACUGUAUUAGAUUCAAUGUCACACUCAUUUGUUCCUCUUCUGAUCUUGAAGUACCCAUCCUGGCAUACACACACAAACACACUAAGGCAAAAAACUUAUAGAAAUAUAAUACUACUAACUUUUUCGCUCAUGUAAAUUGGGAGUUGAUUUCUCAUAUAGUCACUCAACUAGCCACUAUUAUCUCAAGAAGUCGCUUUCAUAUGAGAUAAUAAGUAUUAGUUGAGUGACCAUCUGAG
rnacentral:lncRNA from 1 species